rnacentral:lncRNA from 1 species
AGGGAUGAGGCCUUGGCCUGUGCUGCUGGCUUAAGUCUUGGAGCACUCACCUUUUUGUUUGGGGUCAGUCGCCUCCGUUGAUGGGGCUAGUGAAGGGAUCAUUGACCGGGAUAUCUAUUCUGCACUCUAGUCUAUCUACUAUACCAUGCAUGUUUAUAACUAGCAAGUUUACUCUGUAAUUCCUGGGACGUCUUACAUAAGACCACUACUGUAUAUGUCUGAUGGGGGAUGCAGGUUCUAUGGGAUCUAAUUUCCGUGGUUGUAUGAGGUUUACAAAUCUGUUGAGGAAUCUAUAUAUAACUGUUUUAUAAAUCUGUUUUGUUGUGGCAUUUUCGCUGUGCGAACCUUCCAGUGAUGAUUAGGGAUCAAUAUGGUAUUUUUUCUGUUUGUUUUGUCUGGGCUGAGGGUACUUCUUAAUUCUGCUCGAACUGUCUAUAUCAGACAAGGAUCCUAGCUGCUCGUAUUGAUCCGUCUUCCAUGACAGAGUACAACAUUGCCCUUCCCUUCUGGGAAGCUUUCAAUCGGGGAGUCGGCUUGUGGUGAGUGAUUUCAUUUUGAACUACACCAAGGGAGCAUCAACACCAUUAGUCGCUGAACUUCAUUCAGUUCGAGAAGCAGACGUAGGAGGUAGGAUCCACUAGGUCCAGAAUUGAUCAUCAGGGUUUAGCAAAUCUGACACCCUCUUGAUAUCUUCUUUCCGGAGUAACAUUUCGUCUCGUCGUGCGACCAAACACGUUCACGUAUCUCAUCCCGACCAGUGCGCCGCUGUUACGUACAACUGUUGUUAUGAGGACUCUAUAUAUAACCGUGUUAUAAAUGUGUUAUGUUGUGGCAUUUUUCGCGGUGUGAACCUUCGUGUGAUGAUUAUGAGGGAUCAAUAUGUAUUUUGCUGACGCCCUCUUGAGUCAACAUCUUAACCUGUAGCGUCCGACACUUCGUCUCAUCGUGUGAACAACAUGUUGAUCGCGGUCAAGCAUCGAAUCCUCAGCAGUGCCCUGUUCCGAUGUGCCACUGUCUACGUGCAGUUGUAGAAGAUGAGGUUCAGGCAGCUGGGGUUGAUCUUAAACGGAGUCCCACUUCGACGGAGGUGUAUCAACUCGGCAAAUGGCAGCUAUUGUAGAUGUUAAUGUCUUUCUCCAUAUACAUCAGUGACAUCUGAAUCGUGUCCCUCCUAGGAGAUGUCUAUGAUUGCAAAGCCACUGAAAAAUACUGAAUCGAGAGGUCUGGAAAACAGUUAGUGUCGUUCUUCAAAAUCCAAGGAACCACAUGGUCUUUCCGUCUUCUCAUCAACCGCAUUGCGCUACACCUGUCACGGGUGGACAGGGACGGAAGCUCUGGCUCUGCAUCGCCCCUCGUCGCCCGGCGACAGUGGGGACGACGGUGUUGGCUCGUCGUGACCGUGCAACUCUGGGCAAUUCGUGCCCCUGGUCCGCCACCCCGUGCGCCCCUCUCCGCCCCCUCCCCUCGUUGCUCCUGUUGUCGUCCCUAGCCACCGUUGGGCCUCGUGCUUGUGACGACGACGCCACGGAUGUGGACACUCGAAUCCGAGGCACACCCCGCACACUGCGAGAGGCAGCGAGCGAGGGAGAGGGCGUCGGCGCUCCCCGUCGCCGAUGCCCUCCCGAGGGCCUUGUGUGCGCACACCGGUCGAUCCGGGUAACCAGCUACUGACGUCGGUCGUCCGCCGCUCGCUCACCACGGUGGCUCCAUUUCAAGAAUGCUAAGGCCCUCUGGCUCGCCAUCAAGCGGUAAAAAGCGUGAGGCAGCGGCCUCCCGGCUGGCGAAGGAGCAGCGUGCAUGGUCCCUCGGCUGGACGACAUCAUCUCCUCCUCCGACGGCUCCGACGACUCGGACAACACCCCUCCCGCCACGAACGGCUACAUGGAUGGGUACAGAGCCGCACCGGCGACCGUAAGGGCAUGCAAAGGACCAGCGUGGAAGUGGUGAUGUCCGGCGCCCCCACCCCGUUAUCUUUGUUUCUAUCUAGUAGUUGUCCGGUGAUGAACUUGAUCUUUUGGUCUAGUUUCUAUCUAGCAUUUAUUCGGCGAUGAACUUGAUCUUUUGUACAAACUUUAUGCUAUGUCCGGUGUCGUCAUAUGUUGCUACAUGUUGAUCUAGCUAGUUGCAUGGACGGCAUAGUUUCGAGAGGGCAGCUGCCGAGACAAAGAAAUGAGAGUGAGAGGCGUGGGUUGUACGCGGGGUGACUAGGAGAGAGAGGGAGAGCUGCGUGUGGGUGGGGAGGAAACGAACGGGUCGGGGAACAUGCAUACCUAUGCCGCCCGGUCAUUCUCAUAUGCGUCCAACUGCUGCUCCGGCUGCUGCCCCUGCGCCGGCCAGGGAAAAAUAAUACUGUAGCAGCAAAAACAAACGCCGUCCGUCCCCACGCCGUGGCGUGCGUACGUACCUCCGCGUUCAGUACAUACCACAAGAGGGAUCCGUACGCGGGGUUGUACGCGGGGUGUCGCCGGUACUGGUGAUCCGUAGAAUUGGGACUUGGGAGCGAUGCGCGCGUUUGCCACCGAUCGAGCCGGUCACUCGAUCCGUGUGGGUGGGUCUAUCCCUGUGCAAGGACGGUGGUAGCACAGGCACGAACGACCUCUACAUGCACGUCCAGGAACACCAGCAACUCUCGGUCCUCAUCACCUGCCGUCCUUUUUCUAUCAAACCCAACCCGCUUACCAAGUUUAUGUAUACCUGCGUACGUUUACCAUUUUUUUUCUGCAACAAAGAAAUGUUUCUCUUUUUUUGCGUGGGCAAACAAACAAAGCUUCUACAAUGUCAUCGUUUCCGCUUUUCUUUUCCUCUGCUUCUGGUCAAUUCAAUGGAAUUAUUUUACUCACUUUGGAUCUAGGAGGGUACUAUUAAACAUGCACACCAUAAUAUACAUGACCAUGCCCGUGCACGUUGAAAGAUGACAGUUCUGAGGCAUUCAAAUGGUCCGAGGAAUACCCCCUUUAGUUAUUGGAUUAAAGUAUUUCAAAAAAGAUUUAUUUUGAAUAUAUUUUGAUUCUUUUUUAAAAAAUAUGUUAAAUUUCAACUUUUGAAACCUAGUACAAGCGAUAGAAUAAUGACUUUUCUGCCAACGAUUGAAAAAGAAAUCACUUACAGUUUUACAUGAAACAUGGUACGGGCGAGCGAGAAAAUCGCAAGUUCCAGAUGCAAUAGCGUAAUUUCAAAUAUUAAAACUUCAAUUUACUGUGUGCGGGGGCAUGCACGUUCGUGAUCCAACUACUUUGCGAAUCGCGAAGCAAUCGGGCGCCCGAGCAUGGCCGCAUAGGUGUGUGCCCCCGCACCUGCUUGUCCUUCGAAUAUCCGAACAGGUUUGUGGUUGUUAUUCCCCCGUAAAAAAUGCUCUUAUAUUACAAGACGGAUGAGUGUAAAAAACGCUCUUAUAUUAUGGGACGAGGGUGUAUCAUUUCGUUAUGGUUGAUAAGACGUGCUUCUUAUCAGUUUGUUUUUAUAUGAUUGUAUUGUUCCUUAUCAGAUGUUUUUAUGUGAUAGAAUCUGUUUCUUAUCAGUUUAUUUUCAUGUGAUCGCAUGCACUCCUCAUCAGUUUGUUUGCAUAUCAUAGCAUGUGUUCCUUAUCAUUUGUUUUUAUGUGAUAGCAUAGGUUAUGUAUCAGUUUGUUUUUAUGUGAUAGCUCAUACUCCUUAUUAGUUUGUUUAAAUGAUAGCCUAUUGUCCUUAUCAUUUUUGCUCUUUAAACAGUAACUACCUCCAUCCUGGUUUAUUAGUCUACUUUGUAUUCCGUGCCAAAUUUUAACCUUAAAUUUAACUAACAAAACGUUAAUGCAUGUCAUAAAAAUAAUAUAAUUGGAAACCAUGUUCAAAUACGAAUCCAACGAUAUAAUUCUGGUGACAUGCAUUAAUAUUUUGUUAGCCAAAUCUAUAGUUAAAAUUUGUCACAAAAUACAAUGGAGACUUAUAAACGAGGACUGAGUUAGUACAUUCUAGAUGCAAGAGGAUCAUGCAUUUUUUUCAUGUGUGGCAGGCCAGAUCACAACAAAAAAGGCACACCGAGUACAUGCAGAAUCUAGCUAAAAUCAAGAAGUUGCAGAGGCAGAAGAAGAAGAUUCAUCAAUUCCACAUGUAUGUAUUUCUUGCAUAAAUUUCAAUGAACCCUGUAUCACCUGUUGCGAAUUGCAAAGUCAACUGUAUGUGCAGAACAUAAUGCCCCGCAAAGCAAACCCUAGUCGGGAUCCAACAAAUGUACCUGGAAGCAUGGUUUACAACAUGUGGAGCAAGUAACUAACUUAUCCCAUUUCUAAAAUUCAUUAAUGAUGAACUUAUCACAUUUCUACAAUACACCAACACCAUUUUUUUCUUUCUUAGGAAAGAAACUAUGUAGUACCUGACAAGACAUAUGGUCCUUUUCUACAAAAAAGCUCAUUUGUAGUUGUUGCAUGGGCAUCAAUUCCACAAGGCAGGGGAAGGCUGACGACAACAAUGACUAGAGGAAGGGGGAGUGCAGGGGCACAAUACGAGAUCAAAAAGAAGGAUCGGCUGGUAGGGGCAGGGGCACUGCCCCUCAAAGGGAAAAGGAGAAAGCAAUACCAAGCGAGUUCAAGGGGACAAACUAGGACAAUAUGAGGAGAAUCAACUUCUAUUGCAGAUAAACCCUUGUACAACUUGAUGUCUGGUCAGGAUCUCAAUGAUGUUGCAAUGCCUUACCUAAAUUUUGGACCACUGCCUGACCUGAAUGUAGCAGAUAUUCAACAUUAAAAAAUUCAGGUCACCCAUAAUGCACCUGCAUGGUGAACUAUGUUCUUUACUUGCACGAACUUAUGUUUAGUGUUAAAUGGUCGCACCUUAAUUUUGCUAUGAACUAAAUGAGGAUUUGUGUACAGCUUCAAGAAGAAGUUUAAGGAGGAGCUCAAGUGGAUCUUGUUGCAAGCGCAAAGGCAGUCUUACCAGGGGCGGAGCUAUGUGCAAGUAAAACUGUGCCAUGGCCCGCCCUGUCCAGUUUGAAAUCAGCGAGGCGUUAGAGUAGAUUGAGCCAUAUGAAAAAAAUAAUUUGGCUUUCCUAUAGACCGGCCCGCCAAACUUUCCAUCUGUAGCUCCGCUACUGAGUCCUACUAUUUCCAUGAUCUUGGCCAUUGGAUCAAUUCUCCCAUAAUUAAACCAUACGAACCAGUAUGAAUCAUGACCAGCCAUUCAAUCCAGGAUCGAUGCCGACAACGUCGUUUGCCUCCUCAAAACGCACUACUAGAAAAAGAGGCUUCCAUACGCCCCCAUUAGUCCCCAAAAUAAUCGAACCGCGACCAAAGGGGUCUUUAGUCGCGGUUCGGGAGGAGACCCGCGACCAACUAUCUGGGCCCAGCGCGCUCGGUCGACAGCUGGCGGACGGGAGGGGCUUUAGUCCCGGUUGGCCUGGCCAACCGGGACUAAAGGUCCUCAGGCUGGCCCGAAGGCCUUUAGUCGCGGUUGGCCAGACCAACCGGGAUUAAAGGUUAGACCUUUAGUCCCGGUUGGUCUGGCCAACCNNNNNNNNNNNNNNNNNNNNNNNNNNNNNNNNNNNNNNNNNNNNNNNNNNNNNNNNNNNNNNNNNNNNNNNNNNNNNNNNNNNNNNNNNNNNNNNNNNNNNNNNNNNNNNNNNNNNNNNNNNNNNNNNNNNNNNNNNNNNNNNNNNNNNNNNNNNNNNNNNNNNNNNNNNNNNNNNNNNNNNNNNNNNNNNNNNNNNNNNNNNNNNNNNNNNNNNNNNNNNNNNNNNNNNNNNNNNNNNNNNNNNNNNNNNNNNNNNNNNNNNNNNNNNNNNNNNNNNNNNNNNNUCAAAAAAAUAAAAUAAAAUAAGUUUCUCAUGUGAUAUGUGGUCUAGUUGUUGGGAAAAUUAACAAAUAUGAAUUUCGACUUUAUUUGCAAAAUCUCUCUGGAAAUUCUUAAAAUGGGCAUAACUUUUGCAUACGAACUCGGAUGAAAAAGUUUUUUAUAUGCAUAAGAUCUGGAGAGGCAAAAAAAUUCAAAAAAAAUUCAAAUUGUGGUCAAACUGUGGUCAAACAAUGGUCAAACUAAUUAUUCUAGAAUAUUAGUGUUACUAAAUAAUUAUUUCAGUUUUUUUUAAAUUUUGGUCAAAUCUGGUCAAACAGUGGUCAAACAAUGGUCAAACUAAUUAUUCCAGAAAUAUUAGUGUUACUAAAUAAUUAUUGUUUUUAAAACAAUUGUUUCAAACUCAAACAGUGAAGUGUGUCACUUCAUGCUCAAGCUAAAUUCCUGAGGGUUAAUAUAAUUGACAUCCUACUAUUGUCAGGAAAACAACAAGUGCAGACUUGGAAACGAGGGAGAAUAGAACCCGGAAUUUAAGCGUGCUCAGGCUGGAGUAGUGAGAGGAUGGGUGACCGUCCGGGAAGUUAGAUGAUUUGAAAUGAUGAGGGGUAAUUAGAGAUUAGAGGAUAAAUUGAGCAGUGAUGAGGGGUGGUGAUUAGAGAUUAGAGGUUAAAAUAAUUCAGAAAUUUGAAAAUAAAAAAAAUAAAAAAAUUCGCAAAAAACCAGGUUUAAACCUGCGGAGGAGGCCUUUAGUCCCGGUUAGCCACGAGAACCGGGACUAAAGGACGGGCCUUUAGUCGCGGUUCGUAAGAGGCGCGACUAAAGGGAGGGGGGUCUUUAGUCGCGCAUAUUUAGUCCCGGUUGCACAGCCGGGACUAAAGGCCUUUGCGAACCGGGACUAAAAGCCUUUUUUCUACCAGUGACGACCAGAGGGGUAUCUGAUUAAUUCGCCCGCAUGGGACCUAAUGAAACAUUUUAGAGCAGCCCCACACGUUCCUCCUGCCAGCACAAGCAAAGUCCGCCCCCACGUCGUGACGUGCGUACGUAUCUCUGUGCAAGGUACUGGUAAUCCGUAGAAUUGGGCGUUGGGAGCGAUGCGCGCGUGAGCCGAUCACUCGAUCCGUGUGGGUCUAUCCCUGUGCAAGGACGGUGGUGGCACAGGCACGCACGACCUCUACAUGUACCUGCGUACGGUUAUCAUUUUUUUUCUGCAACGAAGAAAUGUUUCAAUUUUUUAUCAUGCCGUCGUUUUGGUUUUUCUUUUCCUUAAUUAUUUUAUAGUAUUAUCAAACAUGCACACCAUAAUAUAUAUGACCAUGUCCGUGGACGUUGAGAGAUGACAGUUUUGAGGCUUUCAAAUGGACUGAGGAAUACCCCCUUACUUAUUGGACACGAACCAAACACAUAGCACUCAGGCUGGCCUGGCCAGGCAAUUAUUUUCAUGUCUCCAGGCCGUUACCAGGCUUCGUUUUCUCCCAGGCAUGAAGUCCAGGCCUCAAACCAAACUAGUUCUGAUACCAUGAAAGAUGACCAGAGAGUAGAACAUGAUGAAGUUCAUGCCAGAUAGCUGCUGGAACUUUGGGAUGUUCAGCGCGCCGAUGAUGAGCUGCGGCCGGUUCCGCACGUCCAACUGGUUCGGGAACGUGCCGCGCAGCCUCACCCUCCUCCUUGAGGUCCUCGAACCCCGCGUCCACCUUGUGCGUCCCGCGCAGCUUCUCCAGCACGCGGCGCGCCUCCUCGAGCAGCCCGUGCUGGACGAGGAUUGGGCGUCUCCGGCUAGUACAUCGCGCCGACGAAGGUGGCGGUGGCGGGGCCCAUGGCGAGAGGCGCCAGCCCCACGGGUGGAUACAGUCGGUGAAGUAGUUGAUCAUGUUGGCGGCGAGGAUGCCGAGGCAGGCGGUGAGCUGGUUCACGGCGUCGCGGAUCCUGGUUACCGACGCCGAUGCCGACGCCAAGGAGGAACGAUGAGCAUGGCCACGUUCACAGCGGCGCCCAGGAAGAAGCCGACGGCGCCCGUCAUGAUGCUGCCGCACCGGCCGUGGCGCUUGGUCACGAAGGAGGCUCCGAUGGUGGAGACCAGGCCGGUGAGGUAGAGCGAGGAGGUGAAGAGCGUCAGCACCUGCUUGUCCUACUCCCGUGCAGGUGCGCGUGCUUCCGGCUGUACACGCCCGGGAAGAACUUGACCAAGAAGUCGUCCAUGGAUUCCACACCACCUGCGUUCAUCAAUCACCACCAUCGUCCAUGAUUGGUUACCACUCUUGUUCUCGUGUCAAGUACUGUAGAUGCGUGUGAUCAAGAUUUAUACUUACUAGUACAUUUCAGUGAAAGAAAAUCAAUUCGAAAAAUGAGUGCUUCGUCAUCUGUAUGAUUAAUCCGGGAGCUCCCAUGGAUUGCAACAAAAUAUUACCACUGCAGUUUCAUUCUUCCAAGCGUUAAUCUUUUCCUUUGAUGUUACUCCUAGCAUCUACAGCUCGGCGCUUCAAACCACCCUAGUACGUCCAUGCGGAUGCCUCGAUGACUAACCAAUCAAAACAAAACAAAAAAUUGAUCUAGAUGGGCACCUUAAAACGGGCUCAAACGUCCGGGCUGACCGGCACGCGACACCCUUCAUAUUCCGCCCAAAUACAGGGCGGAUAUGGGAGGCCCAGGGACGACCAGGCGCGUCCGUCACGGUGGACCUGACCCACGCUGGUCCACCCGAAUCCACAUAUAUUUGUCCCCAUCCGUUCCUCGGUCAAACCCUAGCCACUCCAUUCCCCUCCACCCCGCUUCGCGACCCAAACUCCCGUCCAACGAUAUAUCUCCGGUCUUCUCUGGCAUCACGGGCAGUGGAUCUGACUCCGACCAAUCUGGAUCCGUUGACUGGGGUGCGGGUGGGAGGAGGCAAUGGCCGUCUGCAUUGCACUUCGUCACUCGCGAGAGGACUGCACCCGACCGACGACGGGAUCCGCCCGGCGCGAGUCGAUUUGCGUCGGCGCAUGGGCGCUUGGAUCCUCUGGGACUGGAACAUCAUGGUCUUCCUGGAGCCUUCCAAUCUCCCUUUCCCCAUCACCGGUCUGUCGGAGUAUGAGUGGUACCAGGACCGGAGUGUCCGCCGUGGCCCAUCUCACUGCCGACAUGGUGGCGGUGGAGACGGUUGAUUCGGUGGCGCGAGCUGCCGCAGAGGAAGAAGUCAUUCACGCUCGCAUUGUAAAGAAGCGGCGGUGAUGAACGCGCGUGCCCUCGUCCGAGAGUUGAAUCGGGUGGUACGUGCCAUGCCCGGACUGCCCCCCCUCCCCCUAAGAAGGAGAAGGAUGACAGGAACGAGUCGGACAGCUCCGGCGAUGAGCAAAUCUGGCCCAAUCCAUACCGCGUUUCGACCGCUACUUCUGUGAGAAGGACGACAAGGGCGCCAGGAGGGACAAGGGCAGCAAUGGAUGGUCUUCUACAUAGGUAGAAUGUAGGUAGACAUGCCAAAGUUUGGUAGAUGGCAUGGCCUGAUCUAGCAGUCGGACGAUCUGCGUAAUGCAUCAUUUACGUAGUUGCAUAAUCUUGUAUGGAUUUGAGGUAUGCUAAUUGAGUGUCUGGUUGCGAGAAGAAAAAUUUACAGUGUGACUGCGUCCGUGGCUUUCGAGGGGUCGGAUUUGUCUAAGUCCAGCUGUGAACGCUCCUACAUUAGAUAAACCUCCAUGAUUGCAUAAGCUCGUUGUUUUGUCUCGAAAUAUGGUUAAAAAAAAUGGAAUCCUCUUGUGUUGAUUGAUCUAACUACUACACUAAUAUAAGAAAUCCGGUGCAGUUCCAGCUCAAAAAGAAUUUAUUUAGGAGUACAUGAGAAGUCCGGUGUAGUUCUAGGCUUGUAGCUCCACUUGCACCGUUGGGGCGAAGGGUGGACCGUGCACGGGUGCGCAGCGGCACAACGUGAUACCACCGCGGUCGCACGGGGCAGGUGCGAGGACCAUAUUGUGCGCUGUCACUAAGCAAAGCGCGAGACCAACACGCGUGACAUACUUGGAGGAGCUCACGAUCCCAUUUUACUGCACAAACACGCCGUUAUCUUAACCAGAAGCGGGUGCCGUGCUCUGCGUCGCACGGCACGGACGCACGGGUUAGAAAAAGGCAGGGGAGGGAGCUGCGUGCCGCUGAGUGGCAGUGACAGACAGACACACAGGACACAGCGAGGAAUAGGAUGGGCUGUCCGGUCGGCGUGAGGUGCUAGACAAGUGCUACAGUCGCAGCACAGCGUCGCCGCGCGCACGCUGUCCGUUACGUUGCUGGCCGGUCGGCGUUCGUACUAUCGUGAGGAUCGCUGCUUGGCCCACCAGCAGUCACGCAAAACGUCGCCCGGGUGGCUCUACGUUUUUUGUUUUUUGAGAAUCAUAUACCAGUAUAUUGAGAAAACAAAAGUAUUUAAAAGGGUAAAUUCUAGUUUGUACAUUCUACUCCCUCCGUAAAAAAUAUAAGCAGAGGGAGUACCUUUUUUAUAUAUAUUUAAAGCAGAGGGAGUACCUUGAUAUUGUUGACGUUACCUAUUUGACAGUUUUAAUCCAGAUUACUCCAUCUAUCGAAAGUUUUGUAAGAAAAACUGUAAUGCGAAAACAUUUAUGAUUGUUUAUGCACUAGUUUGACGGUAAUUCACUUCUGAACCCAGGCUCAUCUGCACCGGAUGAGCAAUUACUUUUUUGAAAUAUAAAAAUAAAUUAUUAUUUUUUUGCAUUGAAGACUGGUAUGCUAGUAGCGUGCAGAUUAUCUAGGCAAAAUGACAUUCGAGGAGCUGUACAAAAAAAACNNNNNNNNNNNNNNNNNNNNNNNNNNNNNNNNNNNNNNNNNNNNNNNNNNNNNNNNNNNNNNNNNNNNNNNNNNNNNNNNNNNNNNNNNNNNNNNNNNNNNNNNNNNNNNNNNNNNNNNNNNNNNNNNNNNNNNNNNNNNNNNNNNNNNNNNNNNNNNNNNNNNNNNNNNNNNNNNNNNNNNNNNNNNNNNNNNNNNNNNNNNNNNNNNNNNNNNNNNNNNNNNNNNNNNNNNNNNNNNNNNNNNNNNNNNNNNNNNNNNNNNNNNNNNNNNNNNNNNNNNNNNNNNNNUUGCUCGCACCUAGCGCACUCGAGCAUCUAUGAUGCCAAAAAAUAAUCAGAUUCGCUUGUCAUUUGUGCGUACACAAUGGAUUCCCGCCGGAACAAGUUCGUCUGCGGUUAGGCACACUCCUCCCGGGAGCGGCGGAGAAUCAUGCAGACGACCAUCUCCUUGUCGGGACCGCCAGGGACAAGGUCCCGGUUGACGAAUCCGAAACUCCCGGAGCUAGAUUCGCUGUCAGCCAUGCCGGAGAUGGCCGGAGUCCGCUGGAGAAGAGUUAGGGGGCGGAGGGGAGUGGAGAGAAAUGGAGUGGCUAGGAUUUGGUCAAUAGUGUGGAUAGGGAUGACUAUAUGUGGGGUCGUCGCGGGCCAUAGUGGACCGAAUCCGACGUGACGGACGCGCCUGGACGUCCUAUAUCCGCUGCACAUAUGGGCUGGAUAUGGGGUUGUCGGUCAGCACAGGCAUAUGUGCUGUGUUUUUGGCGUCCGGUUGGAUGGUAUUUUUACGUCUGGGCAGCGACCGAGCUAGCCACCCGAACGUUUGGGGCAGAUAUGGCUCGUCCGGUUGUAUUUGCUCUUAUCAAUUACGCAUAUAUAUCUAUCUUUAAACAGACUAUGCUCCCUAAUUCUUAAAGCCUUGCAAUUAAUUCGAGUCUUUAAUUUAGAAUUGGUUACCUAGUUUUUACUGGGCAACAGUUUUUUAAGGAGCUCUCUCAUUCAAUAUUUUAAUUUAGUAUACUCCGUAAUUUUGAAACUCUUUCAUUCGAUUGAGGUAUUCAAUUUGGAUUCAGUUCAUGAUUUUGACCGGAUCAACGAUUUUUUAAAUCAGUUGGAAGGAACUGACCUAAAUAACAUAUCAGUCCCGUGUAUGCUCUCACCACCUUGACAAAAGAAGCGUCAAUGUAGUACAUGCAACCACCGAUAAAAAAUUUUCCCACAUAAGUAUGCAUUGAUUAGCAGAUAACACAAUUACAUGACAGAAGGCCCACUAGGACACAACAUUAAAAAUAAAAAAUAAAACACACUCCAUCAUCUCCCUCCACCGCACCACACCGCACCCAUGUAUGGUAUAGUAGUAUAUCGCACGAACGAAAAAACAAGUUCGAAAUGAACCCGGUCUUCGGUAAAAGCAGGACCUGGUUAGAGCAACUCUAGCAGACCCCUCAUCCAACGCGAACCCGCAUAAUUCCGGCGAUUAUACGGGCACGACCCAUUAUUCUAGCCAGACCAGAGCCCGCAUCGGUGUCCGGCCCGUAAAUAUUUUUGCCGCAGCCCGCAAACGCUACUCCCGAACCAGUAUAACUGCGGGUUUGCGGGGCAGAUGCGGGUCGAAACCCUAUCCCCCCGCAGCCGCGUUUGCCCCCAAUUCCCCACCGCGCCGCUCGAUAUGUCGCCGCCGACGAGCCUUCGACCGCCAUGGCCGACACGGGGGAUGAGGCGGAACGCCGCCGCCGCGCCAGAUCUGACGCCGCACGCAAGCGGGGGCGCGUCGGUGGCUCAACCGCGGUACCCGGCCGCUGCCGGCAUUCGACGGUCGCGAGCUCGAGGACUUCGAUCUCGAGCUCGCCCAUCGCGGCCACGCCUCCUCCGGCAACUGGUCCGCGGGGAGCUCAUCCGGCAACUGGUCCGCGGGGUGCUCAUCCGCGGGCGCAUCGAGCUCGCGGCUCGUUCCGGUGAAGAGGGAGCCGUAGGAGGCGGUGAAGAGGGAGCCGGAGGAGGCCGUGCCCGAUGCGCCGCCGCGUCGAGGCGUCAUCGGGCCCGUGGACUACCUCCCCCCGGGGCAGGAGGAGCUCCUCGAGCGCGUCGUCCUCGAGCGGUCGGCGAGGGAGCAGGAGGAGAUGGAAGAGCGCAUCCGGCGCGAGCUCGAGUACGAGCGACUCUUCUUCGAGACGGGCGUCACAGCAUCGCAGGCGCACAAAUCGAAGGAGGUUGACCUGCGCGUGAUGAAGGCGGAGCAGGCAAAGCUCUACAUCGACCUCGACUCCGACUCCGACUGAUCGCCGCCGGUGGGCAGCUACCGCAGGAGCUCCGGUGAGCUCAAUUUUGUUGUAGUGGUGCGGUAGCGUAGGCCCUGUCUAGCAUCUCUGACCUUUAAUAUGUAUGUAUGUGGAGUGUAUGAACUUAUUAUGCGAAGAAGAACCAUCUAUGCGAGCGAGCUCCGGCGAGGUGCUGCUUAAAUUUCUCCCGCGAAACAAGUUUUUUAAAUAUUACGGGUUUGUUUGCGGUUUCUGUUUUGCCGUCGUGUUUUUCAGCCUGCAUAAGGGUCCCCGCGCGACAUGCAAACACAGUUUACAGUUCGGUAAAAUGCGGGGUUUGCUAGAGUUGCUUUUAGCUGGCUGGCACCCAACGGAGGCACGGCCACGGAGAGAGAGAAACACAAAGGACUGGCGCCACGAAACCAGAGGCGGCACCGUAGAGAAGGGCAGGGUAGCAGCAGCAGCAGCAAUCAACCUUUCUGUUUUCGUUUGGCUUCGUUUCCACGAGUUGCCGCGAGCACCCAGGAGACCCUGGUCAAGCUAUAAUUUAGAGAUCGGCAAUAAAAAUCUCUUAGCCUUAUCUAAAAUAACACGUUGUUUCUAAAAUCAUCAUGAUACAUAUUGGACUAAAAGACCAUCUCUUAAAUAAGAAAAGACAAACAUUUUCUUAUGGAUUCUCUAUCCUUCACCUCAACAAUUAUCCUACAUGGCACAUCUAAGAUAGUACCAUUGCACAUGCCUAAGAGCAACUCCAACACGCUGACUCAAAUGGACACGCAUUUGAGUCAACCAUGCCUAAGAGCUCACUUUUUUUUUGUUUGGAUCGGCUGCCCACCGGUCGUCCACCCCUUUGGCAUUUGAGUCAACCAUGCACCCACCGCUUGGACACAUUUUCGUCCUCGCGGCCAAUCUGUCUUUUUUUUCAAACAAAAUACAAAACAUCUUACACAGUUUCGCAACCAACAAAUAUAUCAUAGUUGACAAGCCAAAUAAAUAUAUCAUAGUUUACAAGCCAAAUAAAAAUUGAAUUGUCUCAAAUACAUUUAGAAGAAAAUAUACAUCUAUUGGUUGUCGACUUGAGCCCACAUAUGCCCAACCAAAUCAUUUUUGCAGCUGAAUGUGAGUUUUUCAAUCACGUAUUUGAUGAUGAAAUUGGAUAAACUGUGCAAACGUUGCUGCUCCUCCAUGCCCAGGCAUAACAUUGUCACCCUGAAACUGAAACCAUUGGUCAUAGAUACGUUCCGGACGCUUUAUGAGGGAAGACCAUCAUGUCUAGCUUUAUUAAAACUCGAAUAGGGUUACAUCGUCCAUGAGUGCACUAACAAUAGAGUUAGGUGGCUCGUCUAACCAAACAAAAGUGGUCUUAUUAAAAAAACUAUAAUUUGCUAGCACAUGAGCCGAUUGAUUUGCGGAGCGAAAACAAUGACUAAACUUGACCUUCCCGAUCUUCGACGUUGUGUCUACACACUCCGCAAAAAAUGCUGAUGCUUCAUCCCAUCCAUCGAGUUUGCCCGGAACAAAACUCAAUUAAUUGUGAAGAAUCUAAGUCUGCUUCAACAUGAUUAAAUCCAAGGGAGUUUGCAAACUCUAAUCCAUCUCUCAUUGCCAUUGCUCCAGUUGUGACCACAUCAGCAGCAUAUUGUAUGAAUUUGCAUUGGGCAGCAAGAAAAGUACCUUUUUCAUCUCGGAGUAUAUCUGUAGUAAAACCCAUUCCAUCGCCCACGAAGAAGGUUACAUCCACAUUUAAUUUCAUAAACCUCUGUUCAAGCUUAUUCCAUCUCCUCUCUGUAGUUGGGAUGCUCUUAGCGAUGCUAUUCUGAAAAUUACAUGUGAUAGCCAACACCGAAAUAGGCCAUCUCCAUCUAGGUGGAACAUAUUCAUUGUGUGUUACAUGUCGUCUUAUCCACUAUAGGAACCAGCCCCAAAUAAUUAGCACUUCUUUCAUCGUUACGGAAGGAUGCAUUCCUAGCUGUUCGUCCGGCAAAGAGAGUAGGUGUUCCAGGAUUACAUACCCCAAGCUAUCAACCAGAAUGGCCAAGUCGAUCUAAUCCAUGAUCCCCAAUCUUCUCCACAAUUCCUUAGCAUGGACGCACAUGAAUAAGAGAUGCCUAACAUCUUCUGCAUCUUGUUGGCAAAUAUGACACGCACCAUUUGACGGAUAUGUCUGUUUGUGAGGAUAACCUUUAGCGGAAUGAUUCCUUGUAGCACCCGCCAACCAAAAAUCUGAACCUUACGUGGAACUUUUAGUUUCCAAACAAUACUCCAUAUGGCCCGAGGUGCGGAGCCACGCGGAUGAUCUAGCAUGUUUGCAUGUGCCUUGUAAGUAUGUACCCACUUUAAAUGGUACGCGGUGCGAACUGAAAAGAUUUCAGAUCUAUUCGGCUGCCAUGCAAUAAAGUCCUCAAAAGCGUUAUGGUUUAGAGGUAUCUACAUGAUCCUUCUGACACUAACAUGAUUAAAAUUAGUUUAGAUCAAGUUCUCAUCCCACAUUCCUUGCACCAGAUCAAUCAACUCACAGACUUUAGUCAAAACUGUGUCUCCUCUAGGGGUGAUUAGCUUCCUGUCAGCGCUGGAAGGGACCCAACAGUCACUCCAUAUGUUUAUGUCUUCACCCGUUUGACCCUCCAAAUAUAGCCUUUUUUGGAAGUUCCAAUCCCUUUAGUAUACCUUGCCAUGUAAAGGCUGGCCCGCUCUUCGGGGUCGCAUCAAGCAAGCUCCCGUUGGGGUAAUACUUCGCCUUUAAUACCCUUGCAGAUAAUGAUGUUGGAUCAAUAGUCCGCCUCCAAAACUGUUUUGCGAGCAUUGCCAAAUUGAAGGAGUGUAAGUCCCUAAAGCCCAUGCCUCCUUCACAUUUAGGAAUGCAAAGCUUCCACCACGCCAUCCAAUGCAUUUAAUUUCAUAAUAUCUGUUAUUUCCUUGCAUAUGCCAUUAGGUAAACUGAAUACAGACAUAGAAAAAACCGGUAUUGCCUGGGCUACUGCUUUUUAUAAGAUUUCUUUACGUCCAGUUGAGAGCUGCUUCUCCAUCCAACCAAUGAGCCGUGCGCUGAUUCUUCGCAGAAAUGCCUGAGACUGUCACUUCUAUCUGCACCCACUAUUGCUGGCAAACCAAGAUAUUUAUCUGAUAAGGCCUCAAUGUCUGUAUGUAAGAUUUCACAUAUCUCUGCUCUCAAGACCACACUGGUAUUAGGAGUAAAGAAAAUGCUUGAUUUUGCUAAACUCACCAUUUGCCAAGAACUCUGACAAUAGGUAUCUAGAACAUGCUGUAAGGAAGUUGCAUUUAGAACAUCUAUUCUCAUGAGAACUAGAGAAUCUUUAGCAAAUAGGAGAUGUGAUACUGAUGGUGCAUUUCUACACACUCUAACCCUAUCCAUGCCACCAACUUCUUCUUCAUACUGCAACAUACUAGAUAACCCUUCCGCGCAGAGCAAGAAAAGGUAGGGGAGAGGGGAUCUCCUUGCCUAAUACCUCUUGAAGGAGUAAACACAUCUGUUUCUUGAAAAUUGAAUCUCACCUUAUAACUUAUUGAGCUUACACAUGCCAUUAUGAUUUCGAUCAUCCGUUCAUGAAACCCACGUUUUUGCAUCAUAGCUUCGAGAUAUCCACUCCACCCUGUCAUAUGCCUUGUGCAUAUCCAAAUUCACAACACACAAACUUUCUUGUCCCGAUUUUUUAUUUUGUGCACAUAAGCAAUGAGUUCAUUAUCCAUGAUCAGCCUUGAUGGGACAAAAGCACUCUGAGUAGGAGAUACUUUUUCAGGCAGGAUACAUUUCAAGCUUGAAGCUAACAUUUUGGAGACGAUUUUACUUUGUUCACACAUUCAUAAGCAAUGAGUACAUUAUCUAUGAUCAGCCUUCCUAGGACAAAAGCACUUUGAGUAGGAGAUAUUAUUUCAGGCAGGAUACAUUUCAACCUUGAACCUAACAUUUUGGAAAUGAUCUUAUAUAAAAUGUUGCAUAGACUAAUUGGUCUAUAUUGGGUUACUAGGUCAGGUGAAUCUGUCUUGGGUAUGAGAACAAUAGAUGUUUGAUUCCACUCAGCCGGGAUCUGACGAGAAUUAAUAGCAAGCAAAACUUCCUGUGUAAUCUCAUUACCUAUGACAUGCCAAAACUUUUUUAAAAAGAUCGCACGAAGCCCAUCUGGAGCCGGAGCUUUGAGAUCGCCAAUACUAAAAACAGCCCGACGAACAUCUAUACGGAGUAGUUAACAUAGUACUAUUCAUAUGAUCCGUAACCUUUAUUUGAACCCUCUCAAGAAUAUAAGGAUCAACAUGCUGCACCUCUGAAGUAAAAAGGUUACUAAAAUAAUUCUAAAUACUAUGAGAACUCAGUGCUGUCGUACCUUCUACUGCAUUACCAUUCUGAUCAUGGUGUUUUCGGAUAUAGUUAUUUUUUCUUCUGGCCGAUGCAAAAGCAUGAAAAAAAACCAGUGUUUCGGUCACCGAAUUUUAACCAAUUCUCCCUGGAUCUCUGCAUACAAUGAAUCUCUACUAGUUCCGGUACAUAUUCAACUAGUUCAGAUAGUUCUUUCCCCUUCUCUUCACUCUCAUCAGAGAUAGGACUAGUUAUAAUUCUUUUUGAAGUUCCUUUUGUGCUUUCCUCAACCUAUUUUUCGGUUUCUUCAACACUCUUUGAUCCCAAUCAUUGAACCUCUUUUGAUCCCAAUGAGUAUAUUGUUUCUUCAAACUGGAGAACACUAGUCUGAUAUACACACUUUGUAGGUGAUCCUGAGAAUGUUUGAUUUCUAUCAGUACGCAGUUGGUAAAAGCAAACACACAUUCGCUGAUCUGCUGUGAAAAUUUUCUCUCCUUUUGAGGCGGAGAGCCGGCCAGGGUGAAAUACCCAGGCUACCCCUCGCUGGACACGCGUCGCCCACCCAUUCCCCACCUACACCAACUCUGAUUCCCUCUUUUCUCUAUACACCCUCGCUCCACAGGGCCAUCCCAUCACACCCCUCGCUCAUUUAGGUCACGCGCGCCGUUGCAGAGCGGCAGACAGGCAACCAUGGCCGCCUCCAAGCGGGUCACGCAAGCCGCCGCCGCCGCUCUAGCAACCGCUCGCCCCCUCUGCCGUCCCCACCCCACCCACCAUGGCCUCCUCCCGUCGAAGCUCGCCCCACGCUUCGCCUGCCACCCCAGCUCUCCCGCGGCGGCGGCGCUGGCGCAGUAUGCUUCGGCGCGGCGCCUCUGCUCUAGCCCAACCAAUGGCUCAGUAUGAGACGUCCCCCCCAAGAUCCCGGACCCGGAGGACAAGAUCCAUCGGGGUAAGCAAGUGGCUGCCCCUACCACCGACCCCAUGCUUCAAAUCCCGGCGCCCAACAUCGCUCUUAAGGACAGCAGCGUCGAGGUCGACAUCCCGGCCUUGCACGAGGACGCGGCAACUGCCGUCAAGUGCGACUCCCUCGAGACGUCGGAGCCGUCCGCCGCGACUGGCAUCAAGUCCGACCUCCGCAAGGUAGCGGAGACGGCCGGGCCGAACGCCGCCGACAACAGCUCCCUCGAGGCGCCGAAGAAGAUCACGCCUACCGUGGCCGCCGACAAGAACUCCCUCAAGGCGGUGGGGAAGAUCACGCUGAUCGCGGCCGCCGGCAAGAACUCGCUAAAGGCGCCGGAGAAGAUCACGCCGGCCGCGUCCGCCUACAAGAACUCCAACAUCUCGGCUAGAGCAGCUCGGGAGGAGACGCCUCCCNNNNNNNNNNNNNNNNNNNNNNNNNNNNNNNNNNNNNNNNNNNNNNNNNNNNNNNNNNNNNNNNNNNNNNNNNNNNNNNNNNNNNNNNNNNNNNNNNNNNNNNNNNNNNNNNNNNNNNNNNNNNNNNNNNNNNNNNNNNNNNNNNNNNNNNNNNNNNNNNNNNNNNNNNNNNNNNNNNNNNNNNNNNNNNNNNNNNNNNNNNNNNNNNNNNNNNNNNNNNNNNNNNNNNNNNNNNNNNNNNNNNNNNNNNNNNNNNNNNNNNNNNNNNNNNNNNNNNNNNNNNNNNNNNNNNNNNNNNNNNNNNNNNNNNNNNNNNNNNNNNNNNNNNNNNNNNNNNNNNNNNNNNNNNNNNNNNNNNNNNNNNNNNNNNNNNNNNNNNNNNNNNNNNNNNNNNNNNNNNNNNNNNNNNNNNNNNCUUCACUCUGAAGCAAAUCCCGGCGCCCACCGCCGCUGCCAAGGAGGGCGGCGUCGAGGUCCACAUCCUGGACCUGCACGAGGACGCGGCAACUGCCUUCAAGCGCGAAACUACGGGGGAGCCGUCUGCCGUCAAGCCCCAACUCCACGAGGCUGCCGAUAAGCCCGCGCCGACCACCGCCGACAAGUCCCUCUACGCGCCGGAGAAGGUCACGCCGACCGCGGCCACCGACAAGUCCAUCAACGCGUCGGAGAAGGUCACGUCGACCGCCGCGGAGGUCAACGCACCGGACAAGGGCACGCCCACUGCCGCCGAGCCCGGCGCCCUCUAGAGUAGGGUGGUACUCUAGUGAGUAGUAGAGUUUAGAUGAGGCUGGGUGCUGCUCUAGUGCAGAGUAACUAGCUAAUACACUAGAAUCGUACACGAAGUGGUAUUAUUUUUGGUCAUGGUUAUGCCAUGUGGUACUAUUUUGUAAUCUCGACGUCGCGUAGCCCUAGAACUCACACGAUCCUGACAAUGGACCAUGGUACAUAGGGACAUAGCAAGGGGGAACAUAUCUAGCGUGGCUAAUUAAGCUUAUCUUCAAUUAUUAUAUGCUGAACUAUUUUACUUUCAUAAAUAUUAUUUUAUUGAAGUAUGAUCACAACUAUUAUUUUAUCACUUAGAUCUAUAUUCAUGCUAGUGAAUAUUAGCAAGAUUUUUUAUUUAUACAAUUAUAACUUUUUCAAUUGAUAAUACAUGUCAACUCAGCUCAAACCAUAUUAUUGCAUAGGAAAUAAGUUUCUUACUUUUGCCCAUCAAUAACAUUUGGUUAAACUGAAUUUCACUAGGUUGGGGAAGAAAUAUAAAAACAUCCAUUGAUUAUUUUUUAUCACAUAGAUGGAUUUUAGGUAUAUGUGUAUAUGAUAGUAUGUAUGUUUUUGUAUCCUUAAAUAUAUCUUCGGAGAUAGGUCUAAAACAUAAGCUCUAGCAAAUAUCAGGGAAAGUUGCAUGUUUAAGUAUCUUAGGUGUGAAUAGAAUUUUCUAUGUACGCAUAAGAUGUCUACAAGGGGUUUAUACUUGGUAUUGAAUAGCAUCGGUCAACUCAAUAAGCAUCUCAUGGGUGCUUGGUAAAAUAACGUUGUUACUUAUAUGUAUGCAUGCUCUUUUUGUAUAUAUAUUGUGUUUCUUAGUUUGACCCGUAUUCAAUUCAAACCUAGAUAUAAAAGUGACUACAACCAUAUAUUUCAUUCUUAAGAAAAUCACAUCAAAAGAUAGAAUCACAACUUGUAUAUUGUAUUGUCAUACUAUAGGAAGUUUUGAUUUCUCCUGUACACAUCAGUUAGACCCUAUUACUGAAAGGCCCAAGGCGAGCACCCUCACUGCUCUACUCUAGGUCUUGCUCCGACUUGAAUUUUGACAGGGAUAUUCACACUAUUAGAUACUAGUUGUUGUACUAUCAUUAUCUAUGCCAAUAUUGAUAAUCAGAUUAUUCCCUUUCUUUAUGUCAACAGGGAAAUAAAAGUAGGUCAUGAUGUAGGAGUUGGUAUAGAAAAAUAAGACCUCUUGUAUUGGGUAGUAUCAUAAUUUAGUAUCAUGUAUAUGAUAUCGUCUCUAUAGUGCACAAUACUCUUUUCGUCCAGGUUUAAAACGUCAUCUGGUCAAAAUGCAAAGACUAAGGCGAGAUUAAUUCCAUGUACCCGAGAUUCUUGAACAUGCAACAACCAACAAGCUUCUCCCAGUUACUUUGAAAACCCUCCCUAAUUAGUUCCAUGCAAUAGAGUAACAACAUAUGGCAUACAUGAGCAAUAUUUCUCCCGCAUGCACUGGAUGGACAAUCAAAUCUCUCACAUGCAUCCAUAGUUUUAUUCUCGGCGGAAGACGAUGGGAAAGAAGCACAUAUGCACGUGGUAGAGGGGCCACAUACUCUAUGGGAUUUAAGGUCACUCCCAAUGCUUAUCUCUUAGCAUGCUAUCAUAGAAGAAAAUGUUGACAUGCCACUAUAUUUAAAGAGGGCAGAGAGGGGAGUUGUAUGUUCACGAAGGUACGGCUCUUAGCUUGCUUUCUAUGCAACAUAAUUAAUACUCUGAUCUCGUUUGGCAUAUUUCCUUAUUUUUCUCUUAUUUCCUUCUCUCUACAACUAGGCCACAAGGUUGAUAUGAAAACAUGAUUCCCAAACUAAUUAACAUCGCUUAGAUGCAACACCUAAGAGAAAACACAUUGAGAUGGUUGUCUCUAAUAUUUUCUGACCACCUAUGAUAAAGAGUUAAGAGCCAAUGUAUUGUGAAUGCCUUAAUAACCCACAUAUGGAUGUAAAUGGCACGAUAAACAACGCCACAAGGCCCGUUUGUUAGCUCGAUAGUUCAUUUUCCCAGAAAAAACUUUCUUGAACUAUUAGAGCGAUAAGUCGGCUUAAACAGUGCAUCGUUUACAGCCCUACAGGCAACCUACAAACAGCGAAUAGAACAAUGAGCGCACAUGUGGAAACCAAAGUGAGUUAACUAGGCCAGCCUAGUAGGAGCAGAUGCAUGCUAGUCCUUUAAACCUGAACGGAUGAAGUAUCAUAUGUUGGUAUUUUGGAUGAUCUUUACUUUGUAUGACUCUUACUAGCACAUCAUUUAUUGUGAUACGAUAUCAUGAUAUGGUACUAUUAUCCUCUCUUUCCCCAUUUAAUGAUAUGCCAUUUUACAAUAUGCCUUGUUAGCAUUGCAUGGGACUGCAUGAUGCCACGCUAUUAUACGCCGGUGUAGGAGCUCUGAUAAUGAAAGAACAUCAGUACAAAUAAUACCAUAGAUGCUACAUGACAUGCAUAUUGGAAAAACAUGAAUAUUAACCAUGAAACUUUGUGAGGAUUAUAACAGGGUCCACUUGUUGUUGAGAUGUGACACAUUCAACAAGAAUAAAGAAAACGAGUUCAAAUCAUACCAACUCUAUAUCAUAGAAGAACAUAUACAAAUGCUUAAUAUUCCUAUUCUUGGCCAUGCAUGGUGUUGUACAACCCAUGGAAAUGGCAUUACAAUAAAUACUAAUGAAAAUUAAAAUGAACUUUUAUAUGAAAUAUUAAUGUUGGGAUCUCUAUAUAAGUGUUGGGUACAUAUGGUCCUUUUAGAUGAUUUGAAAGCAUAAUUUAAGGAUUUUUUCAUUCACUUGUCAAAAACAUGGACUUCUACAAAAAAACUGGGAAGAAAACUUGACAUCCAAAAUGGGCCCUUAUAGAAUCAGCAUCUGUACCACAUUCUCCAUAUCUCCAUUUGGAAAUCUUCUCUGAAACUUGUAUCAUAUUUCUUUCCACUUGAGUACUCCCUCUAUUUCUUUUUAGUCUGCAUGUAAGAUUUGUCGGAAGUCAAACUUUGUAAGGUUUAACCAACUCUAUAGGGAAAAAAAUCAACAUUCACAUUAUAAAAUCAAUAUCACUAGAUGCAUCGUAAAAUUAAUUUUCAUCUUGUAUAACUUUAGUAUUGUAGAUCUCAAUAUUUUGAAAUACAAAUUUGUCCAAAUUUACGAAAGUUUGACUUCAACAUCUUAUAUGCAGAGUAAAAGGAAAUGAAGGGAGUACUCUCUCUCUCUCUCUCUCUCUCUCUCUCAUUCUCUCAAUAGGCUUUUGCUCUUCUUUAUAAACAAAGCCAACAUCUCAUCCAUACAACAAGUUCAAGUGCAGCAAGUAUGAAUAGAACGUUGGGACAACGACACAAGCAUGCCCUAAAAAGCAUAGAGAAAACAGGAAAAAAGUCCACCAAGUGGCCACAAAAUAAAGAAGCAUGCGACGAGUGUCGGUGUCAAAACCGGCGGACCUCGGGUAGGGGGUCCCGAUCUUUGCGUCAAGGCUGAUGGUAACAGGAAGCAAGGGACACAGAUGUUUACCCAGGUUCGGGCCCUCUCGAUGGAGGUAAAACCCUACUUCCUGCUUGAUUAAUAUUGAUGAUAUGGGUAGUACAAGAGUAGAUCUACCACGAGAUCAUAGAGGCUAAACCCUAAAAGCUACCCUAUGAUGGUAUGAUUGUAAUUGUGAUCGGCCUUCUAAGGACCAACCUCUCCGGUUUAUAUAGACACCGGAGAGGGCUAGGGUUUACAUGGAGUCGGUUACAAGAAAGGAAACACAAUAUCCAGAUCGCCAAGCUUGCCUUCCACGCCAAGGAGAGUCCCAUCCGGACAUGGGCCGAAGUCUUGAGUCUUGUAUCUUCACGCUUCAAUAGUCCGGACGUUGUACACAGUCCGGCUGUCCGGAUAUCCCCUAACCCAGGACUCCCUCAGUAGCCCCUGAACCAGGCUUCAAUGACGAUGAGUCCGGUGUGCAGUAUUGUCUUCGGCAUUGCAAGGCGGGUUCCUUCUCCGAAUACUCCAAAGUAGUUAUUGAACACUUGAAUCAUGUCCGGAUCCACAAAAUGAUCUUCACAUGGCAUAAAUCUGAUCUGCUGGCAAUCUUCGUGCGUCGUGCCCGUGCAUCGUGGCCUGGUCCAACGUGAACCGGCGUUUCUUACCCCACGACGACUCGUGUUACGAGGCGGUUUUAUUGGCACGUCCCGUCGAGGCAGAGAUCGUGUUCCUCUUAUUACGGGAUUUUCCAUUAAUAUGGGCGGGCGUGACCCCACGACGGCCGUUGGUAUAACUCCGUGUGUUUUUAGAUAAGCCUCAAACGGUCACACCGAGGACUCUUGAUAUUCACCCUCUUUAUAAAGGGGUCGAGGCCUAUGCCUCUUUUCCACCUUCCCCGCGCCUUCUCGUACCUCAAGCUCUAACACCCGAAACCCAAGCUUCGACACCCCAGAUCCUCCAAUAUGUCCGGAUCCGUCCCUCAAGGCCGGUGGGUGGCCUCCUCGAUCCAAGAGGACGACAUUGUGAAGCUUAGGGAGGUCGGAUACCUGACUGCCGACAUCUAGCACAGGCUUCCUACUCCAGGGCAGGUCAUCCCCACACCGGAGCCUAAUGAGUGCGUCGUUUUUGUCCCGCACUUUCUCCGCGGCUUGGGCUUCACCCUCGAUCCCUUUGUGAGGGGGCUCAUGCUCUAUUAUGGGUUGGAUUUUCGUGAUCUGGCUCCAGACGCUAUCCUCCAUAUCUCGUCGUUCAUUAUCGUGUGCGAGGCCUUUCUCCACGUCACCCCGCACUUCGGCUUGUGGCUUAAGACCUUCAAUGUGAAGCCGAAGAUGAUCGAGGGGCGACAUGUGGAGUGCGGAGGUGCCGUAAUAAGCAGGAACGCCGAUGCCCCAUGGCCAGAGGGUUCUUUCCCAGAAGUAUCCGAUGUAUGGCAACGGAGGUGGUUUUAUGUCACGGCUCCCAGAGGCACAAAGUGGGUAGCUGCCCCCGAGUUCCGCUCGGGCCCUACGUCACAGUUGAUGUCUUGGACAGACGUAGGACGGAAUUGGGGGCCCGCUGGUGAUGUACCAGUACUGCAGAAUCGCAUCUGGGAGCUCCUUGAGAGGGACAUUAACCUUGUCAGCAUAAUGCAAGUGAUGCUAAUCUGACGGAUGUUGCCGUGCCAACGCCGGCCUCUCCGGAUGUGGGAGUUCAAUCCGGAGGGUCCGCGGACUGUCAAGCACUUCUUCGGCUUGAGGCUCGAAGAGAUGUGCAAAUUAUUCUUCGGACAGAAAGUAGAGUGCCCGGACACCACCGAGGAUGCGGGCCUAAGCUGCAAUCGCCUAGAUACCCAAGUAAGUAAUCUUGACACCGGACACCUAGUUUUGAGUUUGUCAUAGUUGUUCAUUCUGAAAAUCCUCCGUGGCCAGGAAUGGCUCAGCAAGGCGGAGAGAAUCAGGUGUCCGGCGCCACUUCCCGAAGGUUCGCCUGGUCCCACCGUGGCCAAGAUGCUUGACUGGGUACUCAGCAGGAUGCCCUCAGGGAAAGACAAGGGGAAGAACGAAGAAACCGAACCCCACACGCUACGCAUCUGAAUCGGGGGAAUUGUUACCUCCCCUAAGGAGGAUAGUCGGGAAAGGGAGGCUAAGGCCUCCUCCCCGCGCGGGAAGAAGAGGGCUGCCUCCGAAGACUUGGAGGCAGAGAUGCCCCAGCCAGGGAAAAAGAUAUCCCUAGGGGGCCUUGUCCCGACGGGCACCCUCACCGCAUCAUGCCCUCCAACGGGCCAGCCCUCAACCGAGCUGUAAGUCAAUUCACAAUCCGAGGGUACUGUGUUUAUCCUAGAUCAAUAACCAGGAUUCAACUUUUUGCAGUCCGGCCAGCGGCUCUUCUCAACAGGGUUCAUCUUCGGGGGACCUUCCUCCGGAGAUGAUGGAGAGCGAGACCCCACCCGCCUCUCCGACUCACGAAGCGGGCGACACCGAGGUGUCGUCACGGAGGAGUCUGGAUCUGCUGAAGCCGGAAGCCAAUACGUCAGCCACCCUGAGUCCAGAGAAUUUGGCUCAUGUGGGGGGCGAUGGGAAGGGUCCGGCGCAGUUCAAUGUCCGGCCGGAGGCACUGACGGGCUUACUGGAGCGAGCUGCGCUCUCGGGGGAGCACCGCUCGUUAAUGAGCGCGGUGCUCAAGAAGAUUUCAUCCGCUACAAGCGGCUUGAAUGAAGCAUUCACAAGCCUGCUCAGAGGCUUUGAGGUACGUAAUGAAGAAUACACUAUUUCUUUGGCUGUGAGGCACGCGCUAGGUGUGCUCCAUAUAGAUAGUAGCCCCUGAGACUCUGGUUGCCCGCCCUAGGCGGCAAACGGGGGAUCAUAAACUAAUGAUUGUGCUGUAAAUAUGUGCAGGUACCUGUGGGUCCGGACGCCGGCCGGUCCGUUGAAGUUGCCGAACUAACGAGGCAAAUUGGAUCGAUUAAUGCCGAUAUCACGCUGGUGAAUGAGCGGCUGGACAAAUCACAAGGUAUGUGUCAUGCCUUCCCUUGUAUAGGAAAAUAUGAAGGUGGCAUGAUAUUGAUGUAAUAUAUUUGGAUUGCAGAUGGUGCUGCUGCCGUGGAGGCCCUGAGGGUGGAACUUGCUCAAGCCACGGAACAAGCUCUGGUGAGCAAUGCGGCUGCCCUAAAGGCGGCCGAGGAAUUGAGGGCCGAACAGGCUGCUCAUCGCCGAAGCGAGGAAAAGAUAGCCGAAAUGGCUAUUGAGUUAAAAGAUGCCGCUGACCGGUAUGAGCUCCUUAAAAAGGAACAUGAGGAUAAUUCGGCCGAACUGAACAAGGCACUGAAUGCCACCAAGGAAAUCCGGACCGAGCUCAGGGGUGCGCGGGAGGAGCUUCGACAGGCCGGUGAAAUCGCGGCUGGGGGCUCCUAUUUGCUGCGGACGAAAUUUUUUGAUCCGAAGUACGCUCCCCUGGAUGGACGCUGGAGUCCUGCGGACGCAUAUGCGGAUUUGGCAAAGAGUACGGCUGACGCUGCCGACUUCUUCAAAGGUCAAGGUGACAAGGAAGUGGAGAAGCUUUUCUGGUCGCAAUUCCAUGCUCCCACUCGCCCGCUGCCGUUAAGUGACAAGAUGGCUGCUGUAGCGGAGCUUCACAGGCUGUCCGGGCUUGCAAUGCGGUCUGUAAUAGAUCAUCUUUGGCCAAAGGGGCCUAAGCCGGACAGUUACUUUGGUUUGGUGCAAUAGUUCCUUGGGGCUAUGCCUCAGAUCGAUGCCAUGAGGAGGUCGGCGUGUAUAGAGGGUGCACAGAUGGCUCUCGCCCGCGUUAAAGCCUAUUGGACGGAUAUGGAUGCCACCAUUAUAGCGGCCCAGGAUCUGGUGGGGGGUCAAUAUCCGGCCGAACACUACUUGGCGCAGGUCACAGAAGGUGCCCGUCUAAUAGAGGCGCAGUGCUCGAAGAAUGUCUUGUUCGAAUGAUGAACGAAAUCAUUGUGAAAACAAUGUUUAUUUUGAUUAUGAGGCUAUAUUUAUACUAUUUGCCUGAAAAUAUGAUUAUGUCCCCUGUGCGGCCGUUUAUAUAUAUGUAUAUAUAAAUAUGUAAUCCGAAAGUUAGCAGUCGUUGGCUUCAGCCCCCACGCAUACAAUGCGGGGGUGUUCGAGAAGAAAUAUGCUUAAUCACACUUGAUCCAACAUCUUGGUCCAUUAAGGAGGUGAUUGCACGUCGAACUAGGCAAGCGGACUAUAUAGCUGUAACACUUUCGCUUAGCCGUGGGAGUCUAACAUUGGGGCUACUAUGUAGCCCCUGGUACUUUUGCGUGCAUCUGAAUACGGGCGCGCAAGUACAUGGCCUGGAAAUGGCCCUUCGUUAAUGCGGAGGAAUCCGAAAGAUUCCGGUGAGUCUUCGAGUGGUUGAUCAAUCUCUCGCUGUAUCAUGACAGUCAGUUUUCGACUUUCUCUACUGAGGUGCUCGUCCGGAAUAACCAGGGCACAAUCACAGUAGUUCUCCUUUGGCCACCUUAGCCGAUGAUAACGGAACGUAAGGCGGCAAACCCAGGUGCCGGGCUAACCCAACAUUUGACCAAAGACAUGAUUCAGAGCUGAUGCAUAUAAGGCCGAACUCGUGACGCCGAACACUCCCGAAGGUAUUCGGACUUUAUAAUAGAUGAUGGGCUCAAGAAUGCCUAUUCAUUAUAAACCCUGUGUUUCCAGGUACGUGCGUUAAUCUGUCGUGGCGAAAUGCCAAAAACGGCAGUAUCCUCUGUGGGUAUGGAACCCAUGGGAUGGUUAAACAACAAGAGGCAAUAGAAAAGGUUUACACAGGGGCUUAAUCUAAAAAGAAACCUGUUGAACGGAGCCCUGCUGCACGUCUGCGCCUUUGUCUCCAUUGUGCCGUAUCCUGGAAGGGUAUCGCGCGAACGUUGUAUAUGGAAAGAAGAAAACUCAUAGGAGGUUACAACGUUAGUCGCGAUAGAUAGUAAAAGUGUAAGCUGCUGGCUUGCCAAUAAGGUUGAGCCAAGUGUGGGGCUUUAUUAGAUAGUUAUAGCCCAUGGUAUCCGCUAUGGGAUUACAUAUACGGUGCCCUGGUUCGAUUUGGGCUACCGGACUCGUCUAACCGUGUCCAUGGUCUUAAGGACCGGUCAUAUUUUAUUUUGAUGUUGGAGGUCGCUUAUAGUCCGGCCGCGAGGGCCGUCGCGUGUUCCUCUGCGCGUGACGAGCGCUCUGUUAUUCCGCUAACGGUGAUGACGCCACGUGGACCGGGCAUCUUAAGUGUAAGGUAGCCAAAGUGCGGCAAUGCGAUGAAGCGGGCGAAGGCCGUUCUUCCGAGCACUGCGUGAUAGUCACUUUGAAAGGGUGCGAUGAUGAAGAGUAAUUCUUCACUUCUGGAGUUGCGUGGAGAGCCGAAUGUUACCUCCAGUAUGACGGAGCCCCUGCUGUAGGCUUCGACGCCUGGUACCACCCCUUCAAAGGUGGUGUUGCUUUGGCUGAUUCUGGAUGGGUUUAUCCCCAUCCCGCGGACAGUGUCCUCGUAUAUUAAAUUGAGACUACUGCCGCCGUCCAUGAGGACCCGGGUGAGACGGUAUCCAUUGAUCAUUGGGUCAAGCACCAAGGCCUCUGAUCCGCCGCGCCGAAUACUAGUCCGGUCGUCCAAAGGAUCGAAAGUGAUCGGAUAAGACAUCCAGUAGUUAGGUGUGGGUAUGAUGGGCUCUAUAUCGUGCGCGUCUCUAUGCGCGCGUUUGUGCCCUCUCCUGGAUGUAUGAGUCACGUGGAUCAUGUUUACUAUUUUAACCUGUGGCGGGAAUUUUUUCUGUCCCGCAGUGUUCGGCCGACGAGGUUCAUCCUCGUCUUCACUUGGUGUUUCCCUUCCCUUGUGUUCGGCAUUCAAUUUGCCGGCCUGCUUGAAGACCCAGCACUCUCUGUGCGUGUGGUUUGCAGGCUUGUCAGGGGUGCCAUGGAUUUGGCACAAUCUGUCUAGGACUCUAUUCAGUCCGGACGGUCCCUCUUUACUGCCUUUAGAUGGCUUGUUUUGCUGAUUAGGUCGGGAGCCCCUGAAUCCGGCAUUAACCAUUGUGUUAUCCGGGCUCUCUUCCUUGUUUUGGCAUUUAUUUUUAUUACGCCAUGGCUUCCCGUUGCCAUCCCUUAUUUCGGAUGUGCUGGGGUCGCCGGUGCCUUUACGGGCUAGCCAGCUAUCUUCUCCCGCGCAAAAGCGGGUCAUAAGGCUUGUUAGGGCUGCCAUUGUCCUUGGCUUUUCUUGGCCGAGGUGUCUGGCGAGCCACUCGUCACGGAUGCUGUGUUUGAAUGCCGCUAAGGCUUCGGCAUCCGGACAAUCAACAAUUUGAUUCUUCUUAGUGAGGAAUCUGUUCCAAAGCUUGCGGGCGGACUCUUCGGGCUGUUGGACUAUGUGACUUAAAUCGUCAGCAUCCGGAGGCCGGACAUAAGUCCCUUGAAAAUUGGCCCUGAAGGCGUCUUCGAGUUCUUCCCAGCUCCCAAUUGAAUUUUCGGGGAGGCUUUUGAACCAGUGUCUAGCUGGUCCCUUUAGUUUGAGGGAAAGGUAUUUGAUGGCGUGGAGGUCAUCCCCGCGAGCCAUAUAUAUAUGUAGGAUAAAGUGCUCUAUCCAGACCCCUGGGUCUGUUGUUCCGUCGAUGCCUCUAUGUUCAUAGGUUUAAAGCCCUGUGGAAAUUCGUGGUCCAGUACUUCAUCAGUAAAGCACAGGGGGUGAGCAACCCCUCUGUAUCUGGACGUAUUGUAGCAUGCCGUCGGCUGUUGUUGUGUUCGGUGUUUAUUCCGAACUGGUAUUUGGUUGGUGUAAUCAUUGUGGUGACCAUAGUCCCUCGCCGGGGUGUGUCCUUUAGAUCUGUAGAUGGACCUAGCUGCGCCAGCUUUUUUAUCCAGGUGCUCACGUAGGUCUUGUGCGGCGUCCUCAGCUGAUUUGCUACGGUUGUGGAGUGGUACGUCUGGUCUUCUGGUCGUGUUACUCUUUGGUGGAACGGCCUCGUCGUCGAAUUCUGAUAGUAGCUUACGUUUUGGGUAGUGAUACGUCUCCAACGUAUCUACUUUUCCAAGCACUUUUGCCCUUGUUUUGGACUCUAACUUGAAUGAUUUGAAUGAAACUAACCCGGACUGACGCUGUUUUCAGCAGAACUGCCAUGAUGUUGUUUUAUGUGUAGAAAAGAAAAGUUCUCGGAAUGUCCUGGAAAUCCACGGAGGCACUUUUCAGAAUUAAUAAGAAUUUUUGGCGAAAGAAUCAAGGCCAGGGGGCCCACGGGCUGUCCACGAGACAGGGGGCGCCCCCCCUAGGGCGCGCCCUCCAAUCUCGUGGGCCCCCUGGACCUCCUCCGACCUCAACUCCAACUCCAUAUAUACCGUAUCGGGGAGAAAAAAAUCAAGGAGAAAGUUUCAUCGCGUUUUAUGACACAGAGCCGCCGCCAAGCCCUAAUCUAUCUCGGGAGGGCUGAUCUGGAGUCUGUUCGGGGCUCCGGAGAGGGGGAUUCGUCGCCGUCAUCAUCAUCAACCAUCCUCCAUCACCAAUUUCAUGAUGCUCACCGCCGUGCGUGAGUAAUUCCAUCGUAGGCUUGCUGGACGGUGAUGGGUUGGAUGAGAUUUACCAUGUAAUCAAGUUAGUUUUGUUAGGGUUUGAUCCCUAGUAUCCACUAUGUUCUGAGAUUGAUGUUGCUAUGACUUUGCUAUGCUUAAUGCUUGUCACUAGGGCCCGAGUGCCAUGAUGAACCUAUUAUGUUUUCAUGAAUAUAUGUGUGUUCUUGAUCCUAUCUUGCAAGUCUAUAGUCACCUAUUAUGUGUUAUGAUCCGACAACCCCGAAGUGACAAUAAUCGGGAUAAUUCUCGGUGAUGACCGUAGUUUUAGGAGUUCAUGUAUUCACUAUGUGUUAAUGCUUUGUUCCGGUUCUCUAUUAAAAGGAGGCCUUAAUAUCCCUUAGUUUCCGCUAGGACCCCGCUGCCACGGGAGGGUAGGACAAAAGAUGUCAUGCAAGUUCUUUUCCAUAAGCACGUAUGACUAUUUACGGAAUACAUGCCUACAUUACAUUGAUGAAUUGGAGCUAGUUCUAUAUCACCCUAUGUUAUAACUAUUGCAUGAGGAAUCACAUCCGGCAUAAUUAUCCAUCACUGAUCCAUUGCCUACGAGCUUUUCAUAUAUUGUUCUUCGCUUAUUUACUUUUCCGUUGCUACUGUUACAACUACUACAGAAACCCAAAAACAUUUAUCUUUACUUUUGCUACCGCUACUAUUAUUAUCAUACCACUUUUUCUACUAAACACUUUGCUGCAGAUACUAAGUUAUCCAGGUGUGGUUGAAUUGACAACUCAACUGCUAAUACUCAAGAAUAUUCUUUGGCUCCCCUUGUGUCGAAUCAAUAAAUUUGGGUUGAAUACUCUACCCUCGAAAGCUGUUGCGAUCCCCUAUACUUGUGGGUUAUCAAGACUAAUUUCUGGCGCCGUUGCCGGGGAGCAUAGCUUUAUUCUCUGAGUCACUUGGGAUUUAUAUUUGUUGAUCACUAUGAAGAACUUGAAAGACGAUCGAACUACUAUUUUGCCCUCAACUACGAGGGGAGGUAAGGAACUGCCAUCUAGCUCUGCACUAGAUUCUCCUUCCGUUAUUAGUAGGCUUGCGACACCUAAACCUGCUACUGCUAUGAAUUCUGAUAUGUCGCAUGUUAUUGAUGAUGCUACUUCUGCUAUGCAUGAUGAAACUACUUCUGUGCGUGAUACUACUUUGCCAUUAGGUGAAUUUCUAGAUAGACAACUUGCUAGAUUUAGGGGGAAUGAAACUACUAAAGAUCCUAUUACUGAUGAUAGUGAUGAUGAAGGUCCCCCCAAUGAUUAUGUUUUACCUGUUGUUCCUAAGGGUUAUGUUAUGAAUGAAACAGCUGCUAUGGAAAUUCUUGCUUGCAAUGAUAGAAAUGAUCUUAAGAAAUUAAUAGCUAAAUGGAAGCAGCAGUCUCUUAAUGCUAGAAUGAAACCCGAUCUUGCUUUUGCUACUUCACCUAUCUGUGUUACUGAUAAGGAUUAUGAAUUCUCUGUUGAUCCUGAUAUUAUUACUUUAGUUGAAUCUGAUCCUUUUUAUGGCCUUGAAUCUGAAACUGUUGUGGCACAUCUUACCAAGUUGAAUGAUAUAGCUACCCUGUUUACUAAUGACGAGAAGUCUCGCUAUUUAUAUAUUCUUUAGAUAUUUUCGUUCUCAUUAAAGGGUGAUGCUAAGACUUGGUAUAAUUCACUUGCUCCUGGUUGUGUGCGUAGUCCCCAGGAUAUGAUUUAUUACUUCUCUGCUAAAUAUUUCCCUGCUCAUAAGAAACAAGCUGCCCAAUGGGAAAUAUAUAAUUUUGUGCAAAUCAAAGAAGAGAGUCUCCGACAAGCUUGGGGGAGGCUGUUGGGGAACGUAGCAGAAAUUCAAAAUUUUCUAUGCAUCACCAAGAUCAAUCUAUGGAGUAAUCUAGCAACGAGGGAUAGGGGAGUGCAUCUACAUACCCUUGUAGAUCGCGAUGCGGAAGCGUUACAAGAACGCGGUCGGUGGAGUCGUAGACGAAGCGAUUCAGAUCGCGGCCGAAUCCGAUCUAAGCACCGAAGAACUGUGCCUCCGAGUUCAACACACGUGCAGCCCGGUGACGUCUCCCAUGCCUUGAUCCAGCAAGGAGAGAGGGAGAGGUUGGGGAAGACGCCGUCCAGCAGCAGCACGACGGCGUGGUGGUGAUGGAGGAGCGUGGCAAUCCUGCAGGGCUUCGCCAAGCACCGUGGGAGAGGAGGAGGACAAGGAAGAGGGGGAGGGCUGCGCCAGGACCUUGGUGCGGCUGCCCUCCCACCCCCACAUAUAUAUAGGGGCAAGGGAGAGGGGGGCCGGCCCCCUCAGAUCCAAUCUGAGGAGGGGGCGGCGGCCAGGGGGGUUGCCUUGCCCCCCAAGGCAAGGGGGGCGCCUCCCCUUAGGGUUCCCCCAAAACCCUAGGCGCAUGGGCCUUGGGGGGGAAGGCGUCCAGCCCACUAAGGGGCUGGUCCCUCUCCACAUACAGCCCAUAGGGCCCCCCCGGGGCAGGUGGACCCUCCCGGUGGACCCCCGGAACCCCUUCGGUGGUCCCGGUACAAUACCGACAACCCCCGAACUUAUUCCGGUGACCGUAUGAUGACUUCCCAUAUACAAAUCUUUACCUCCGGACCAUUCCGGAACUCCUCGUGACAUCUGGGAUCUCAUCCGGGACUCCGAACAACAUUUGGUAACCACGUAUAUCUAUUCCCAAUAACCCUAGCGUCAUCGAACCUUAAGUGUGUAGACCCUACGGGUUCGGGAAUCAUGCAGACAUGACCGAGACACCUCUCCGGCCAAUAACCAAUAGCGGGAUCUGGAUACCCAUAUUUUCUCCCACAUGUUCCACGAUGAUCUCAUCGGAUGAACCAUGAUGUCGGGGAUUCGAUCAAUCCCAUAUUCAAUUCGCUUUGUCUAUCGGUAUGUUACUUGCCCGAGAUUCGAUCGUUGGUAUCCCGAUACCUUGUUCAAUCUCGUUACCGGAAAGUCUCUUUACUCGUUCCGUAACACAUCAUCCCGUGAUCAACUCCUUGGUCACAUUGUGCACACUAUGAUGAUGUCCUACCGAGUGGGCCCAGAGAUACCUCUCCGUUUACACGGAGUGACAAAUCCCAGUCUCGAUUCGUGCCAACCCAACAGACACUUUCGGAGAUACCCGUAGUGCACCUUUAUAGCCACCCAUUUACGUUGUGACGUUUGGUACACCCAAAGCAUUCCUACGGUAUCCGGGAGUUGCACAAUAUCAUGGUCUAAGGAAAUGAUACUUGACAUUGGAAAAGCUUUAGCAUACGAACUACACGAUCUUUGUGCUAGGCUUAGGAUUGGGUCUUGUCCAUCACAUCAUUCUCCUAAUGAUGUGAUCCCGUUAUCAAUGACAUCCAAUGUCCAUGGUCAGGAAACCGUAACCAUCUAUUGAUCAACGAGCUAGUCAACUAGAGGCUCACUAGGGACAUGGUGUUGUCUAUGUACCCACACAUGUAUCUGAGUUUCCUAUCAAUACAAUUCUAGCAUGGAUAAUAAACAAUUAUCAUGAACAAGGAAAUAUAAUAAUAAACAAUUUAUUAUUGCCUCUAGGGCAUAUUUCCAACAGUCUCCCACUUGCACUAGAGUCAAUAAUAUAGUUCACAUCACCAUGUGAUUAACACUCACAGGUCACAUCGCCAUGUGACUAACAUCCAAAGAGUUUACUAGAGUCAAUAAACUAGUUCACAUCAUCAUGUGAUUAAGACUCAAUGAGUUCUGGGUUUGAUCAUGUUAUGCUUGUGAGAGAGGUUGUAGUCAACGGAUCUGAACCUUUCAGAUCCAUGUGUGCUUUGCAAAUCUCUAUUUCAUCUCCUAGAUGCAGCUACCACGCUCUAUUUGGAGCCAUUUCAAAUAACUGUUCUACUAUACGAAUCCGGUCUACUUCUCAGAAUAAUCCGGAUUAGUGUCAAAGUUCGCAUCGGCGUAACCCUUUACGACGAACUCUUUUACCACCUCCAUAACCGAGAAAAUUCCUUAGUCCACUAGUUACUAAGGUUAAAUUUGACCGCUGUCCUGUGAUCUAUUCCUGGAUCACUCUUGUACCCCUUGACUGACUCAUGGCAAGGCACACUUCAGGUGCGGUACACAGCAUAGCAUACUAUAGAGCCUAUGUCGGAAGCAUAGGGGACGACCUUCGUCCUUUCUCUCUCUUCUGCCAUGGUCAUGUUUUGAAUCUUACUCAAUAUUCACACCUUAUAGCCAAGAACUCCUUCUUUGCCGAUCUAUUUUGAACUCCUUCAAAAUCUUGUCACGGUAUGUGUUCAUUUGAAAGUACUAUUAAGCAUUUUGAUCUAUCUUAUAGAUCUUGAUGCUUAUUGUUCAAGUAGCCUAAUCCAGGUUUUCCAUUGAAAAACACUUUUCAAAUGACCCUAUAUGCUUUCUAGAAAUUCUACAUCAUUUCUGAUCAACAAUAUGUCAACGACAUAUACUCAUCAGAAAUUCUAUAGUGCUCCCACUCACUUCUUUGGAAAUACAAGUUUCUCAUAAACUUUGUAUAAACCCAAAAUCUUUGAUCAUCUCAUCAAAGUGUAUAUUCCAACUCCGAGAUGCUUACUCCAGUCCUUAGAAGGAUUGCUGGAGCUUUGCAUACUUGUUAGCAUCUUUUAGGAUUGACAAAAACCUUCUGGUUGUAUCACAUACAACCUUUCCUCAAGAAAAUUGUCGAGGAAACAAUGUUUUGACAUCCUAUCUGCAAGAUUUCAUAAAUAAUGCAGUAACUGCUAAUACAAUUCCAACAGACUCUUAGCAUCGCUACGAGUGAGAAAGUCUCACCGUAGUCAACUCCUUGAACUUGUCGGAAAACAUCUUAGUGACAAGUCGAGCUUUCUUAAUGGUGACACAUACCAUCAGUGUCUGUCUUCCCUUUUAGAAUCCAUCUCUACCCAACAGCCUUACGACCAUCAAGUAGUUUUUCCAAAGUCUACACUUUGUUUUAUACAUGGAUCCUCUCUCGGAUUUUAUGGCCUCGAGCCAUUCUUCGGAAUCCGGGCCUACCAUCGCUUCUCCAUAGCUCGUAGGUUCAUUGUUGACUAGCAACAUGACCUCCAAGACAGGAUUACGUACCACUCUGAAGCUGUACGCAUCCUUGUUGACCUACGAGGUUUGGUAGUGACUUGAUCCGAAGUUUCAUGAUCACUAUCAUAAGCUUCUACUUCAAUUGGUGUAGGUGCCACAGGAACAACUUCCUGUGCCUUGCUACACACUAGUUGAAGUGAUAGUUCAACAACCUCAUCAAGUCUCCACCAUCCUCCCACUCAAUUCUUUCGAGAGAAACUUUUUCUCGAGAAAGGACCCGUUUCUAGAAACAAUCACUUUUGCGUCCGGAUCUGAAAUAGGAGGUAUACCCAACUGUUUUGGGUGUCCUAUGAAGAUGCAUUUAUCCGUUUUGGGUUCGAGCUUACCAGGCAAAACCUUUUACAUAAGCGUCACAGCCCCAAACUUUUAAGAAAUGACAGCUUAGGUUUCUCUAAACCAUAGUUCAUACGGUGUCAUCUCAACGGAAUUACGUGGUGCCCUAUUUAAAGUGAAUGCGGUUGUCUCUAAUGCCUACCCCAUGAACGAUAGUGGUAAUACGAUAAGAGACAUCAUGGUAUGCCCCAUAUCCAAUAGGGUGCAUCUAUGAUGUUCGGACACACCAUCACACUAUGGUGUUCCAGGCGGUGUUAGUUGUGAAACAAUUUCCACAAUGUCUUAAUUGUAUACCAAACUCAUAACUCAGAUACUCAUCUCUAUGAUCAUAUCAUAGACAUUUUAUCCUCUUGUCACGACGAUCUUCAACUUCACUCUGAAAUUACUUGAACCUUUCAAUAAUUCAGAUUUGUGUUUUAUCAAGUAAAUAUACAGCAUCUACUCAAAUCAUCUGUGAAGCAAGAACAUAAUGAUAUCCACUGCAUGCCUCAGCACUCAUUGGACUGCACACAUCAAAAUGUAUUACUUCCAACAAGUUGCUUUCUUGUUCCAUCUCACUGAAACGAGGCCUUUCAGUCAUCUUGCCCAUGUGGUAUGAUUUGCAUGUCUCAAGUGAUUCAAAAUCAAGUGAAUCCAAACGAUCCAUCUGCAUGGAGUUUCUUCAUGCAUAUCUACCAAUAGACAUGGUUCGCAUGUCUCAAUCUUUUCAAAACGAUUGAGUCCAAAGAUCCAUCAACAUGGAGCUUCUUCAUGCGUUUUAUACCAAUAUGACUCAAAUGGCAGUGCCACAAGUGUGUGGUACUAUCAUUACUAUCUUAUAUCUUUUGGCAUGAACAUGUGUAUCACUACGAUCGAGAUUCAAUAAACCAUUAGGUGCAAGACCAUUGAAGGUAUUAUUCAAAUGGACAGAGUAACCAUUAUUCUCCUUAAAUGAAUAACCGUAUUGCGAUAAACAUAAUCCAAUCAUGUCUACGCUCAACGCAAACACCGAAUAACAAUUAUUUAGGUUUAAUACCAAUCUCGAUGGUAGAGGGAGCGUGCGAUGCUUGAUCACAUCAACCUUGGAAACACUUCCAACACACAUCGUCAGCUCACCUUUAGCUAGUCUCCGUUUAUUCCGUAGCUUUUAUUUCGAGUUACUAACACUUAGCAACCGAACCGGUAUCUUAAUACCCCGGUGCUACUAGGAGUACUAGUAAAGUACACAUUAAUGUAAUGUAUAUCCAAUAUACUUCUAUCGACCUUGCCAACCUUCUCAUCUACCAAGUAUCGAGGGUGGUUCUGCUUCAGUGACCGUUCCCCUCAUUACAGAAGCACUUAGUCUCGGGUUUGGGUUCAACCUUGGGUUUCUUCACUAGAGCAGCAGCUGAUUUGCCGUUUCAUGAAGUAUCCCUUCUUGCCCUUGCCCUUCUUGAAACUAGUGGUUUCACCAACCAGCAACAAUUGAUGCUCCUUCUUGAUUUCUACUUUCGCGGUGUCAAACAUCGCGAAUAUCUCAAGGAUCAUCAUAUCUAUCCCUGAUAUGUUAUAGUUCAUUACGAAGCUCUAGCAGCUUGGUGGCAAUGACUUUGGAGAAACAUCACUAUCUCAUCUGGAAGAUCAACUCCCACUCGAUUCAAGUGAUUGUUGUACUCAGACAAUCUGAGCACACGCUCAACGAUUGAGCUUUUCUCCCUUAGUUUGUAGGCUAAGAAACUCGUCGGAGGUCUCAUACCUCUUGACGUGGGCACGAGCCUGAAAUCCCAAUUUCAGCUCUCGAAACAUCUCAUAUGUUCCGCGACGUUUCGAAGUCGUCUUCGGUGCCUCAACUCUAAACCGUUUAACAUUACUGAACUAUCACGUAGUUAUCAAAACGUGUAUGUCGGAUGUUCGCAACAUCCACAGACGACGUUCGAGGUUCAGCACUCCGAGCGGUGCAUUAAGGACAUAAGCCUUCUACGAAGCAACGAGGACAAUCCUCAGUUUACGAACCCAGUCCGCAUAAUUGCUACUAUCAACUUUCAACUAAAUUUCUCUAGGAACAUAUCUAAAACGGUAGAAACUAAAGCGCGAGCUACGACAUAAUUUGCAAAAACCUUUUGACUAUGUUCAGGAUAAAUAAGUUCUGCUUAUGAACUACCACUCAGAUAGACAUCCCUCUAGUCAUCUAAGUGAUUACAUGAUCCGAGUCAACUAGGCCCGUGUCCGAUCAUCACGUGAGACGGACUAGUCAUCAUCGGUGAACAUCUUCAUGUUGAUCGUAUCUACCAUACGACUCAUGCUCGACCUUUCGGUCUCUUGUGUUCCGUGGCCAUGUUUGUACAUGCUAGGCUCGUCAAGUCAACCUAAGUGUUUCACGUGUGUAAAUCUGGCUUACACCCGUUGUAUGUGAACGUUAGAAUCUAUCACACCCGAUCAUCACGUGGUGCUUCGAAACAACGAACUUUCGCAACGGUGCACAGUUAGGGGGAACACUUUCUUGAAAUUAUUAUGAGGGAUCAUCUUAUUUACUACCGCCGUUCUAAGCAAAUAAGAUGCAUAAACAUGAUAAACAUCACAUGCAAUCAAAUAGUGACAUGAUAUGUCCAAUAUCAUUUUGCUCCUUUUGAUCUCCAUCUUCGGGGCUCCAUGAUCAUCAUCGUCACCGGCAUGACACCAUGAUCUCCAUCAUCAUGAUCUCCAUCAUCGUGUCUUCAUGAAGUUGUCUCGCCAACUAUUACUUCUACUACUAUGGCUAACGGUUAGCAAUAAAGUAAAGUAAUUACAUGGCGUUAUCAUUGACACGCAGGUCAUACAAUAAAUAAGACAACUCCUAUGGCUCCUGCCGGUUGUCAUACUCAUCGACAUGCAAGUCAUGAUUCCUAUUACAAGAACAUGAUCAAUCUCAUACAUCACAUAUCAUUGAUCACAUUCUUUUGGCCAUAUCACAUCACAUAGCAUACCCUCCAAAAACAAGUUAGACGUCCUCUAAUUGUUGUUUGCAUGUUUUACGUGGCUGCUAUGGGUUUCUAGCAAGAACGUUUCUUACCUACGCAAAACCACAACGUGAUAUGCCAAUUGCUAUUUACCCUUCAUAAGGACCCUUUUCAUCGAAUCCGAUCCGACUAAAGUGGGAGAGACUGGCACCCGCUAGCCACCUUAUGCAACAAGUGCAUGUCAGUCGGUGGAACCUGUCUCACGUAAGGUAAGAGUACGUGUAAGGUCGGUCCGGGCCGCUUCAUCCCACAAUGCCGCCGAAUCAAGAUAAGACUAGUAACGGCAAGCCAAUUGAACAAAUCAUCGCCCACAACUACUUUGUGUUCUACUCGUGCAUAGAAUCUACGCAUAAACCUGGCUCAUGAUGCCACUGUUGGGGAACGUAGCAGAAAUUCAAAAUUUUCUACGCAUCACCAAGAUCAAUCUAUGGAGUAAUCUAGCAACGAGGGAUAGGGGAGUGCAUCUACACACCCUUGUAGAUCGCGAUGCGGAAGCGUUACAAGAACGCGGUCGGAGGAGUCGUACACGAAGCGAUUCAGAUCGCGGCCGAAUCCGAUCUAAGCACCGAAGAACGGUGCCUCCGCGUUCAACACACGUGCAGCCCGGUGACGUCUCCCAUGCCUUGAUCCAGCAAGGAGAGAGGGAGAGGUUGGGGAAGACUCCGUCCUGCAGCAGCACGGCGGCGUGGUGGUGAUGGAGGAGCGUGGCAAUCCUGCAGGGCUUCGCCAAGCACCGUGGGAGAGGAGGAGGACAAGGAAGAGGGGGAGGGCUGCGCCAGGACUUUGGUGCGGCUGCCCUCCCACCCCCCCCAUAUAUAUAGGGGCAAGGGAGAGGGGGGCCGGCCCCUCAGAUCCAAUCUGAGGAGGGGGCGGCGGCCAGGGGGGUUGCCUUGCCCCCCAAGGCAAGGGGGGCGCCUCCCCUUAGGGUUCCCCCAAAACCCUAGGCGCAUGGGCCUUGGGGGGGGAAGGCGCCCAGCCCACUAAGGGGCUGAUCCGUCUCCACAUACAGCCCAAAGGGCCCCCCGUGGCAGGUGGACCCUCCCAGUGGACCCCCGGAACCCCUUCGGUGGUCCCGGUACAAUACCGAUAACCCCCGAACUUAUUCCGGUGACCGUAUGAUGACUUCCCAUAUACAAAUCUUUACCUCCGGACCAUUCCGGAACUCCUCGUGACGUCUGGGAUCUCAUCCGGGACUCCGAACAACAUUCGGUAACCACGUAUAUCUAUUCCCUAUAACCCUAGCGUCAUUGAACCUUAAGUGUGUAGACCCUACGGGUUCGGGAAUCAUGCAGACAUGACCGAGACACCUCUCCGGCCAAUAACCAAUAGCGGGAUCUGGAUACCCAUAUUGGCUCCCACAUGUUCCACGAUGAUCUCACCGGAUGAACCACGAUGUCGGGGAUUCGAUCAAUCCCGUAUUCAAUUCCCUUUUUCUAUCGGUAUGUUACUUGCCCGAGAUUCGAUCGUCGGUAUCCCGAUACCUUGUUCAAUCUCGUUACCGGCAAGUCUCUUUACUCGUUCCGUAACACAUCAUCCCGUGAUCAACUCCUUGGUCACAUUGUGCACACUAUGAUGAUGUCCUACCGAGUGGGCCCAGAGAUACCUCUCCGUUUACACGGAGUGACAAAUCCCAGUCUCGAUUCGUGCCAACCCAACAGACACUUUCGGAGAUACCCGUAGUGCACCUUUAUUGCCACCCAGUUACGUUGUGACGUUUGGUACACCCAAAGCAUUGGUACGGUAUCCGGGAGUUGCACAAUCUCAUGGUCUAAGGAAAUGAUACUUGACAUUGGAAAAGCUUUAGCAUACGAACUACACGAUCUUUGUGCUAGGCUUAGGAUUGGGUCUUGUCCAUCACAUCAUUCUCCUAAUGAUGUGAUCCCGUUAUCAACGACAUCCAAUGUCCAUGGUCAGGAAACCGUAACCAUCUAUUGAUCAACGAGCUAGUCAACUAGAGGCUCACUAGGGACAUGGUGUUGUCUAUGUACCCACACAUGUAUCUGAGUUUCCUAUCAAUACAAUUCUAGCAUGGAUAAUAAACAAUUAUCAUGAACAAGGAAAUAUAAUAAUAAACAAUUUAUUAUUGCCUCUAGGGCAUAUUUCCAACAGAGGCUUCUCCGGUUACUUAAUGCUUUGCCUGAUCAUCCUCUUACGAAAAAUGAAAUAAUUGAUAUCUUUUAUAAUGGACUAACCGAUGCUUCCAAGGACUACUUGGAUAGUUGUGCUGGUUGUGUUUUCAGGGAAAGAACAGUCGAUGAAGCUGAAAUAUUAUUGAAUAAUAUGUUGACUAAUGAAAAUAAUUGGACUCUUCCCGAGCCAGUUCCUGAAGUAAUUCCUGAACCAAUUGAGCCAACUCCUGAGCCUAUUCCUAAACCCACUCCGAAGAAGAGAGGUGUUUUAUUUCUCAGUCCUGAAGAUAUGCAAGAGGCAAAGAAAUCAAUGAAAGAAAAAGGCAUUAAAGCUGAAGAUGUUAAGAAUUUACCUCCUAUUGAAGAAAUACAUGGUCUUAAUUUACCGCCUGAAGAACCACAUUGUCUUGAUAACCCGACACAGGUAGUAAAGGUAAAUUCUCACUAUAGAUAUGAUAAAGUUGAAGUACCCUCUACUAAAUUUCAUAGCACAUGCUUAGAUGAAUUUGAUGACUUUAUGGCUAGACAAGAAAGUUUUAAUGCUUAUGUUGGUAGAGAGUUAAAGAAUAAUGCUUUCGAGAUAGGACGCGUAGGUGAUAAUCUGGCUAGAGUUAAAGAUGAACUUCACCGCGUUAGCAAAUAUGCUUCUAUGGUUGCUACUCAACCUAAGCAAGUACUUAAAGCUCAAAAUGAUUUGCUUGAUGAAUUGAAUAAUAAAAAUGACUUUGCGGUUAGAGUGGCUACUAGAACUGGUAGAAUGACUCAGGAACCUUUGUAUCCUGAAGGCCACCCUAAGAGAAUCGAGCAAGAUUCUCCGAGAAACAAUUUAGAGGCACCUAGUACUUCUAAAAAGAAGAAGAAGAAAAACGAUAGAACUUUGCAUGCUUCUAGUGAACCUAUUGUAGACACACCCGAGAAUCCCAAUGAUAUUUCUAUUUCUGAUGCUGAAACACAAUCAGGUGAUGAACAUGAACCUAGUGAUAAUGUUAAUGAUAAUGUUCAUGUUGAUGCUCAACCUAGCAAAAACAAUGAUGUAGAGAUUGAACCUGCUCUUGAUCUUGAUAACCCACAAUCUAAGAAUCAAUGUUAUGGUAAGAGAGAUUUUGUUGCUCGGAAGCACGGUAAAGAAAGAGAACCAUGGGUUCAGAAACCCAUGCCCUUUCCUCCUAAACCAUCCUAGUCAAAGGAUGAUGAGGAUUUUGAGCGCUUUGCUGAAAUGAUUAGACCUAUUUUCUUACGUAUGCGCUUAACUGAUAUGCUGAAAGUAAAUCCUUAUGCUAAGUAUAUGAAGGAUAUCAUCACAAAUAAAAGAAAGAUACCGGAAGCAAAAAUUUCCACCAUGCUUGCUAAUUACACUUUUAAGGGUGGAAUACCAAAGAAACUUGGAGAUCCGGGUGUACCAACUACACCAUGCUCUAUUAAAAGAAAUUAUGUUAGAACUACUUUAUGUGAUCUUGGAGCCGGUGUUAGUGUUAUGCCUCUCUCUUUAUAUCGUAGACUUGAAUUGAAUAAGUUGACACCUACUGAAAUAUCUUUGCAAAUGGCUGAUAAAUCAACUGCUAUACCUGUCGGUAUUUGUGAGGAUGUGCCUGUUGUGGUUGCAAAUGUCACUAUCUUAACGGACUUUGUUAUUCUUGAUAUUCCUGAGGACGAUAGUAUGUCUAUUAUCCUUGGUAGACCUUUUCUUAAUACUGCAGGGGCUGUUAUUGAUUGCAACUAAGGCAAUGUCACUUUUCAUGUUAAUGGUAAUGAGCAUGCGGUACACUUUCCGAGGAAACAAUCUCAAGUUCAUAGCAUCAAUUCUAUUGAAAAAGUUCCAACUAUCAGUUUUGGAGGUUUUGAAUUUCCUCUCCCUACUGUCAAGAAAAAAUAUGAUAUUCUUAUUGUUGGGGAUUUUCAUAUCCCCGUUGAGGUAACAUAGUGUUAUUCGAAAUUUCUCCGGUUCCGUGUUAUUCGGAAUGAGUUUGUUAACAAGACUUGAUCAACCUUGUUAGUGGGUUCAUUUUGAUGAUCACGAGAUGGAUGAAACUAGAAGGCACAACCUUCUGUACCCUCUUUUUACUUUCUGUUAUUUAGAAUAAAUAAAGCAAAAAUAGUAUUAUCCGUCUAUUUUCUGAAUUAUCCGUGCAUUAAAAAAUAGUCCGAAAAUAAAAGUGCUCCAAAUGCCCUGCAAAUUUAGCAUGAUUUUUUCUGGAAUAUUUGAGGAUUUUAGGCACUGAAAACACUGCAAGAGGGGCAAGCACCAGGCCACGAGAGAGGAGGGCGUGCCCCCUUAUAGGGCGCGCCCCCUAUCUCGUGGGCCCCUGGUGGGUCCCCUCCACUUAUGCCAGCACCCACACACUUCAUCUUCUACCCAAAAAAAUCCUCAUCCAGCUCAAGCACGAGUUCUAGCUCGUUUUGCUGCGAUUUUUGAUCUCUUAGCUCAAAGCUCCAUUCGCAAAACUGCUUUGGGAGACUGUUGCUUGGUAUGGGACUCCUCCAUUGGUCCAAUUAGUUUUUGUUCUAGUGCUUUAUUCAUUGCAAAUUUGUGUUGCAUAGGUGACCAUGUUCUUGAGCUUGCAUGUUAAAUUUUUGAGGUCCCAAGCAAUUCCAAUGCAUGAUAUAGGCUCUAGGCACUUGUAGGAGUAGUUGCUAUCGAUCUUGUUUAGUUUUAUUCACUUUUAUUUUGAAGUUACUAAAAUUUCAGAAAUUUUCAGAAAAAGAAAUAUGCUUAGAAGAAUGUACCAAGGUGGUUCCUCGGCAAAGAAAGGGCCAAGGAUUGCUAUACGUGAACAAGAUGUUAAUUCGCCAAGGGACGCAAAUGUACGGGCUUGCGAGUGGCCAUCCGAUGAUUUUAUGGUUGAAGCAGGCUUCAAGGGGGAAUUUGACGCGUAUGUGCGUAAUGCUGAGCUUGAGGACUUCUUACAAGAUAAGUGUCCUCAAUAUUAUCAAUUGACUGAUUCCUUUGUGCGGAGGUUCGAAUAUAUUUCUUCGCGUAAUUCUCCUAGUGUUAUGUUUGAUAUUUAUGAUACAUCUUAUACCAUGGAUUUAGAGGAUUUCACAACUGCUUGCAAACUCCCGCAGUGGGGUAAUAUUAAUGAUCCUCCCAAAUCUGAAGUUAGAGAUUUUCUUGCUAGUAUUACUAUGGGAGAAUCUAGGGACGUAACACAAGCUACCAUAGGGAGCAUUCACUUUCCUGCUAUACAUUAUUUUGCUCUCUUUAUUGGUAGAUGCAUUAACUGUAAGGGCAAAGUAUGUCACAUGUGUGCCCCUGAUCUUUGUGUCCUCAAGAGUGCUGUGUCAGGUUAUAGAGGUUAUAACUUGGGGGCAAUAGUUGCACGUAGGUUGCAUAAUAAUAAUAGAAGGGGAGAUUUCUUUGGAGGAAUUUAUGCAACCUGUGUGGCUAAUUUUCUUAAUAUAGCUCCACGAGAGGGGGAUAUGAUUGUACCUCCUGUUUAUUUGGAUAAAGCAGCUAUGUUUGAUCAUCAUUUUCUUGAGAGGAAUGAACAAUUCCUCCAUUAUCGACUAACCUAUAACAGACGCAACGUCGUCCCUGUUACUCUUCCUGCUCCCUACCUUUUGGAUUAUCACACAAAAGGAAGAUAUGUUGUCACUAGGGAAGAAGCCACUGAAUAUGAGAGGGGAAUGGAGGCAGCUCGCCAACACGCUGCUGCUCAGGAGGCGGUCGCCUCUUCAUCUCAGUACUACCCCAGUUUCACUUAUGGAUAUCAGCCAGGCGGUCACUGGUAUUAAACCAACUUAGGCCAAAAGCCUAAGCUUGGGGGAGUACGUAUUUCUCACCGACUUUACAUUCAUGUUCACACACUAGUCGUCGGUGCUCAUACUAUUUCAUUGUAUUAUCCAUGUUAGUUUAAAUUUCUUUUUCUAGUUUUCUUCUUGUGUGCUUGUUAAACCUUAAGAAAAACCAAAAAAAUUAGUUAGUUUAAUUUCCUUGCUUGUAGUAGAAAUUAAAAUGAAAACCAAAAAGAUUUCUCGUUCUUCUUUUACUUGUUGGGAGCUUUCCCGUGUAAAUAGUUUUAUUUUCUUUUCUUUCUUUUGGGGGCCGAGAAGACUAUAUUGAAAAUGCUUAGUGGCUCUUUUAUGCAUGAUUGUUUAUUUAUAUUUAGAGCCCAUAUUACUUUCUUCUCUCUUGAGUUGAAUGCUUGCAGAUUCCAGCUUAGUCCAAUGCACAUGCACUCUUAUUAUUAUACACUUCGUUCGGUCGUGCAAGUGAAAGGCAAUAAUGAUGAUAUAUGAUGGACUUAUUGGGAUGAGAAAAGCUGGUAUGAACUCGACCUCUUUUGUUUUUGUAAAUAUGAUGAUUCAUCGUUGCUGAGUCAGCUAUUAUGAAGUAAACAUAUUUGCAAUGACAUUUAGAGAUUAUAGUUACUUGUGCCAUGCUUGAUUAGCUAUGAGUUAUAAUGGUUUACCUUGUGUGCCAACAUGCUAUUAGAAUGAUUAUGAUGUGAUAUGAUGGGAUGGUAUCCUCCUUUGAAUGAAUUGAGUGACUCGACUUGGCACAUGUUCACAGAUGUAGUUGAAUCAAAUCAACAUAGCCUUCAUGAUAUUUAUGUUCAUGGUGGAUUAUAUCCUACUCAUGCUUGUACUCGGUGUGAAUUAAUUUUAAUGCAUGCUUACGACUGUUGUCGCUCUCCCAGUUGGUCGCUUCCCAGUCUUUUGCUAGCCUUCACAUGUACUAAGCGGGAAUACUGCUUGUGCAUCCAAACUCCUUAAACCCCAAAGUUGUUCCAUAUGAGUCCACUAUACCUUCCUAUAUGCGGUAUUUACCUACCGUUCCAAGUAAAUUUGUAUGUGCCAAACUCCAAACCUUCAAAUGAAAUUCUGUUUUGUAUGCUCGAGCAGCUCAUGUUUCAACUAGGGCUGCCUAUAUCUUCCAUGCUAGGUGGGUUAUUCUCAAGAGGAGUGGACUCCGCUCCUCAUUCACGAGAAAGGGCCGGUAACCGGGAUGCCCAGUCCCAUGAUCCAAAAAGAUCAAAGUAAAUCAAAAUAAUUAAACAAAACUCCCCCAGGGCUGUUGUAUGUUGGAGGCACUCGUUGUUUCGAGCAAGCCAUGGAUUGAUGCUUGUUGGUGGUUGGGGGAGUAUAAACCUUUACCAUUCUGUUUGGGAACUGCCUAUAAUGCAUGUAGUAUGGAAGAUACAGCCAUCUCAUAGUUGUUGUGUUGACAGCGAAAGUAUGCCGCUCAAAAUGUUAUUCAAUCUCUAUUUUAAAACCGAGCUCUGGCACCUCCACAAAUCCCUGCUUCCCUCUGUGAAGGGCCUAUCUAUUUACUUUUAUGUUGAGUCAUCACCCUUCUUAUUAAAAAGCACCCGCUGGAGAGCACACUGUCAUUUGCAUUCAUUAUUAUUAGUUUAUAUUGGGUAUGACUUGACUGGAUCUCUUUAUCAUGAAUUACAAUGUUUAGUCAGUCCUUGAUCUUUAAAGGUGCUCUGCAUUUCUGUUUUGCGGUCUCAGAAAGGGCUAGCGAGAUACCAUUUUGUUAUGUCAUGUUAUGAUUAUUUUGAGAAAGUGUUGUCAUCCGAGUUUUAUUAUUAUGGCUCGCUAGCUGAUUAUGUUAUUGAUAUGAGUAAUUGCGAGACCUAUGUGUUAUUGUGAGUAUUGUUAGUUCAUAAUAUUUGCUGAAACUUCAAUGCUGGCUUUUCAUGUUUACAACAACAAGAGCAACAGAGUUUGAAAAAGUUUUUCUUUAUCACUUUCAGUUUAUCAACUAAAUUUCUUGAGGACAAGCAAAGGUUUAAGCUUGGGGGAGUUGAUACGUCUCCAACAUAUCUACUUUUCCAAACACUUUUGCCCUUGUUUUGGACUCUAACUUGCAUGAUUUGAAUGAAACUAACCCGGACUGACGCUGUUUUCAGCAGAACUGCCAUGAUGUUGUUUUAUGUGUAGAAAAGAAAAGUUCUCGGAACGUCCUGGAAAUCCAUGGAGGCACUUUUCAGAAUUAAUAAGAAUUUUUGGCGAAAGAAUCAAGGCCAGGGGGCCCACGGGCUGUCCACGAGACAGGGGGCGCGCCCCCCCCUAGGGCGCGCCCUCCUAUCUCGUGGGCCCCCUGGACCUCCUCCGACCUCAACUCCAACUCCAUAUAUACCGUAUCGGGGAGAAAAACAUCAAGGAGAAAGUUUCAUUGCGUUUUACGACACGGAGCCGCCGCCAAGCCCUAAUCUCUCUCGGGAGGGCUGAUCUAGAGUCCGUUCGGGGCUCCGGAGAGGGGGAUUCGUCGCCGUUGUCAUCAUCAACCAUCCUCCAUCACCAAUUUCAUGAUGCUCACCGCUGUGCGUGAGUAAUUCCAUCGUAGGCUUGCUGGACGGUGAUGGGUUGGAUGAGAUUUACCAUGUAAUCAAGUUAGUUUUGUUAGGGUUUGAUCCCUAGUAUGCACUAUGUUCUGAGAUUGAUGUUGCUAUGACUUUGCUAUGCUUAAUUCUUGUCACUAGGGCCCGAGUGCCAUGAUUUCAGAUCUGAACCUAUUAUGUUUUCAUGAAUAUAUGUGUGUUCUUGAUCCUAUCUUGCAAGUCUAUAGUCACCUAUUAUGUGUUAUGAUCCGACAACCCCGAAGUGAGAAUAAUCAGGAUACUUCUCGGUGAUGACCGUAGUUUGAGGAGUUCAUGUAUUCACUAUGUGUUAAUGCUUUGUUCCGGUUCUCUAUUAAACGGAGGCCUUAAUAUCCCUUAGUUUCCGCUAGGACCCCGCUGCCACGGGAGGGUAGGACAAAAGAUGUCAUGCAAAUUCUUUUCCAUAAGCACGUAUGACUAUUUACGGAAUACAUGCCUACAGUACAUUGAUGAAUUGGAGCUAGUUCUAUAUCACCCUAUGUUAUAACUAUUGCAUGAGGAAUCGCAUCCGGCAUAAUUAUCCAUCACUGAUCCAUUGCCUACGAGCUUUUCAUAUAUUGUUCUUCGCUUAUUUACUUUUCCGUUGCUACUGUUACAACUACUACAAAAACCCAAAAACAUUUAUCUUUACUUUUGCUACCGCUACUAUUAUUAUCAUACCACUUUUGCUACUAAACAAUUUGCUGCAGAUACUAAGUUAUCCAGGUGUGGUUGAAUUGACAACUCAACUGCUAAUACUCAAGAAUAUUCUUUGGCUCCCCUUGUGUCGAAUCAAUAAAUUUGGGUUGAAUACUCUACCCUCGAAAGCUGUUACGAUCCCCUAUACUUGUGGGUUAUCAGGUAGCUCUUUGUAUGGCGAUCGUCGCCAUAUCUUUCUUCAGUGUCAAGCACUUUGUUCCAUCUGCGAUUGAGCGUUUCCUAUGCGGCUUUAAGCCGUUGCUUCUGCUUCUCCAGACUUCUCGCCGUGCCCAUAAGCUUACUGUGGAGGUUAUCUCGUUCCACGCAUUCUUCCGGAAUGAUGAAUGCGUCAUCAUCCGGACUGUCUUCAUGUCCUGGGCCGGUUUGAUGAACUCGUCCCUCUGGAUCAUUGUCUUCGGGCGUCUGCUCCGAACUGUGUUCGGCGUGACCUGGUUCGUCCUGCUCCAUCGCUGGUUCCGUAUGGUCGUUGUUGCCUUCGGGGUUGGCCGGAGUAUCGAUCCUUCUGGCGCUCUUGCUGGUAUUUUUACUGUUGCUGGACUUGGAACGGCGUCUGCGCCGUCGCUUUGGCUUUUGCCCGGGGGUUUUAUCUUCUGGAUUGUCGCCGUCCUCCUCCUUGGGCGUAUCCACCAUGUAUAUGUCGUGUGAUGAGGCGGAAGUCCGGCGCCCAUACCGUCGAUGGCUUUGGAGUCGAAGUCAAGCACAUCGGUUAAAUCAUCGACCAUGGCUAUGAAGUGGGUGGUGGGUGGGCAGCGAAUCUUGUCGUCGCCUGCUUCCCACUCGAGCUGGACAUAGUUCGGCCGAAAGCCUCCUGACAAAGAGAGAGACUUUAAUGAGUUCAGCAUGUCGCAAAAGGGCGAGUGCUGAAAGAUGUCCGCGGCGGUGAACUCCAUUACCGGAGCCCAACCAGGUACGGCGGGCUCGGGAACGCGCGGACUGGAUCCUACAACCAGAUAUGAAUCCGGGGAUCCGGAGUCACAGGCAUCCUCAAAAGCGAGGCCUAUGUUCGGCUCCACCGCUGAUGAGGGUACGGCCUGCGGGGCGGGGUCCAUCCCUCCGUCCCUAGGCAACGUAGCCUGCUCCGGAUUUGAGUCCGGGGCUACUGCAGGGACGAUAUCCCGAGCGUUGUCCGACAGCAGGUCCAGGCCAUGCUCGCCGUGACUGUCCGGUGCUCCUGGCGCGGGGCCGAAUCCGUCGGAGAUCAAGUCUCCGCGGAUAUCCGCCGUGUAGUUCAGGUUUCCGAACCUGAUUUGGUGGCCAGGGGCGUAGCUGUCGAUCUACUCUAGAUGGCCAAGCGAAUUGGCCCGUAGUGCGAAGCCGCCGAACACAAAGAUCUGUCCGGGGAGGAAAGUCUCACCCUGGACCGUGUCACUGACGAUGAUUGAAGGAGCCAUCGAGCCUUGUGGCGGCGUCACAGAGGAACUCUCAAUGAAAGCACCGAUGUCGGUGUCAAAACCGACAGAUCUCGGGUAGGGGGUCCCGAUCUGUGCGUCAAGGCUGAUGGUAACAGGAAGCAAGGGACAGAGAUGUUUACCCAGGUUCGGGCCCUCUCGAUGGAGGUAAAACCCUACUUCCUGCUUGAUUAAUAUUGAUGAUAUGGGUAGUACAAGAGUAGAUCUACCACGAGAUCGUAGAGGCUAAACCCUAAAAGCUAGCCUAUGAUGGUAUGAUUGUAAUUGUGAUCGGCCUUCUAAGGACAAACCUCUCCAGUUUAUAUAGACACCAGAGAGGGCUAGGGUUUACAUGGAGUCGGUUACAAGAAAGGAAACACAAUAUCCGGAUCGCCAAGCUUGCCUUCCACGCCAAGGAGAGUCCCAUCCGGACACGGGCCGAAGUCUUGAGUCUUGUAUCUUCACGCUUCAAUAGUCCGGAUGUUGUACACAGUCCGGCUGUCCGGAUACCCCCUAAUCCAGGACUCCCUCAACGAGGACAGGCGCCGAGUGGUAGCAUGAAGCGCAUCCAAAAUGAGACCUAGUCGCGCAUGGUGACGUUGCCUAGACAACGGGUGCUAGUGAUGUAGGAAGGCAAGGAAUUUGAAGAAAGAGUCAGAGGCCCACCUAGGGAAGACCCUCUUAGUCACCAUGUUAUUACACGUCUUCCAAAGAGUCCAAGCUAACUCAGUGAACAGUAGCCAGAAGAGCCAUCUCUUCCUACCGGUCUGGGUGGCCCUGGCAUGAAGAAGCCCGCCAAAUAUGUUGCUUCCCAGUUAGGCCCAAGGCCACGGAGGCAAAGCUCCAAAGAGCUCUAGUCGCCGUGCAAUAGAAGGGGAUGUGUGCUACUUGUAGUCUACGUUAGUAUUUCCCCGAUGAGGAGAGGAUGAUGCAAUACAGUAGAGAUAAGUAGUUCCCUCAGUUAAGAGACAUGGUUAUCAAUCCAGUAGGGGAACCAAACAAAAUUCCGUUAAGCGCACCUGCACACAAAAGAGCAAACACUUGCACCAAUCGCAAAUAAGAGGGUUGUCAAUCCUCUUAGCGGUUAUUUGAAAGGAUUAAAUCCUAUCAAGGUAAAUAGAUAAACUAAAAUACUAAUUAAAAUAAAAGUAAAUAAAUUGCAGUAAGGUAUUUUUAGAGUUUUAAUAUAAGAUAAAGUAGACCGGGGGCCAUAGUCUUCACUAGAGGCUUCUCUCUCGAACACAUAGCAUACUGUGGGUAAACAAAUUACUGUUGGGCAACUGAUAGAAAAGCAAAUAAUUAUGACAGAUUCAUGGCAAUGAUCAUGUAUAUAGGCAUCAGGUCCGAGACAAGCAGACCGACUCCUGCCCGCAUCCACCCAUCGACUGUUAUCCAUCAUGCAUCUAGGGUAUUAACUAUGAAACCAGUAACACCUUAAGCAAGAUGACAUGAUAUAGACAAAGUAAGAUCAAGCAGUAUGAUUAAACCCCAUCAUUUAUCCUUAAUGGCAACAAUACAAAUAUGUGUCAUGUCCCCUACUGUCAUUGGGAUUGAGCACCGCAAGAUUGAACCCAUCACAAAGCACAUCUCCCAUUAUAAGAUAAAUCAAUCUUGUAGGCCAAACAAAAUCGAUAGAUCGUAGAGAAAUACAAAGCUAUAACAAUCAUGCAUAAAAGAGUUCAGAGAAUACUCAAAUAUUUCUCAUGAAUAAUUUGAUCACAAACUCACAAUUCAUUAGAUCCCAACAAACACACCGCAGAAAGAAGAUUACAUCAGAUAGAACUCCAAGGACAUUGAGGAGAACAUGGUAUUGAAGAUAAAAGAGAGAGAAGAAGCCACCUAGCUACUAGCUAUGGACCCGUAGGUCUGCAGUAAACUACCCACACAACAACGGAAGGGCGGCAAGGUUGAUGUAGAAGCCCUCCGUGAUAGAUUCUCCCUCUGGCAGAGUACCGAAAAAGGCCUCCAGAUGGGGUUGCAGAAGAACAGAGGCUUGCGGCGGCGGAAAGGUUUUCUUGUUGGGGAACGUAGCAUGCAAUUUCAAAAAAAUUCCUACGAUCACGCAAGAUCUAUCUAGGAGAUGCAUAGCAACGAGACCGGGUGAGUGUGUCCACGUACCCUCGUAGACCGAAAGCGGAAGCGUUAUGUUAACGCGGUUGAUGUAGUCGAACAUCUUCACGAUCCAACCAAUCCAAGUACCGAACGUACGACACCUUCGGGUUCAGCAUACGUUCAGCUCGAUGACGCCCCUCGAGCUCUUGAUCCAGUAGAGGGUCGAGGGAGAGUUUUAUCAGCACGAUAGCGUGGCGAAGGCGUCGGUGAUGUGAUCCGCGCAGGGAUUCACCUAAGCACUACGACACUAUGACCGGAGGAGUAAACUGUGGAGGGGGGCACUGCACACGGCUAAGAAACAAUUGCUGUGUCUUUGGGGUGCCCCCUGCCCAUGUAUAUAAAGGGGAGGGGAGGAGGAGGCCGGCCCAAGGGGGGCGCGCCAAGAGGGGGGAGUCCUACUAGGACUCCGUUCCUAGUAGGAUUCGGCCCCCCUCCUUCCUUCCAACAGAGAGGGAGAAGGAAACCAAAUGCUUUGAUCACACUAUCAAAGCGUAUAUUCCAACUCCGAGAGGCUUGCACCAGUCCAUAAAUGGAUGCUGGAGCUUGCACACUUUGUUAGCACCUUUAGGAUCGACAAAACCUUCCGGUUGCAUCAUAUACAACUCUUCUUUAAGAUAUCCAUUAAGGAAUGUAGUUUUGAUAUUGAUUUGCCAAAUUUCAUAAUCAUAAAAUGCGGCAAUUGCUAACAUGAUUUGGACAGACUUAAGCAUCGCUACGGGUGAGAAGGUCUCAUCGUAGUCAACUCCUUGAACUUGUCGAAAAACUUUCACAACAAGUCGAGCUUUAUAGACAGUAACUUUACCGUCAGCGUCAGUCUUCUUCUUGAAGAUCCAUUUAUUCUCUAUGGCUUGCCGAUCAUCGGGCAAUUCAACCAAAGUCCAUACUUUGUUCUCAUACAUGGAUCCCAUCUCAGAUUUCAUGGCCUCAAGCCAUUUUGCGGAAUCUGGGCUCAUCAUCACUUCCUCAUAGUUUGUAGGUUCGUCAUGGUCAAGUAACAUGACCUCCAGAACAGGAUUACCGUACCACUCUGGUACGGAUCGUACUCUGGUUGACCUACGAGGUUCGGUAGUCACUUGAUCUGAAGUUUCAUGAUCAUCAUCAUUAGCUUCCUCACUAAAUGGUGUAGGAAUCACUCGAACUGAUUUCUGUGAUGAACUGCUUUCCAAUUCGGAAGAAGGUAUAAUUACCUCAUCAAGUUCUACUUUCCUCCCACUCACUUCUGAUACGUCCAUUUUGCAUCAUGCUUUUAUAUCGAUAUUUAUUGCAUUAUGGGCUGUUAUUACAUGUUAUGUCACAAUACUUAUGGCUAUUCUCUCUUAUUUUACAAGGUUUAACAUGAAGACGGAGAAUGCCGGCAGCUGGGAUUCUGGGCUAGAAAAGGAGCAAAUAUUGGAGACCUAUUCUACACAGCUCCAAAAGUCCUGAAACUCCACGGAAGUUACUUUGGGAAUUAAUAAAAAAUAUCCAGCGGAAGAAAUACCAGAGGGGGCCCACACCCUGGCCACGAGGGUGGGGGGCGCGUGACCCUCCGUGGCCAUCUUCUGCUAUAUGAAUUCUUUUACCCUGGAAAAAAAUCAUAAGCAAGCUUACAGGACGAAACUCCGCCGCCACGAGGCGGAACCUUGGCAGAACCAAUCUAGGGCUCCGGCGGAGCUGUUCUGCUGGGGAAACUUCCCUCCGGGAGGGGGAAAUCAUCACCAUCGUCAUCACCAACGAUCCUCUCAUCAGGAGGGCGUCAAUCUCCAUCAACAUCUUCACCAGCACCAUCUCCUCUCAAACCCUAGUUCAUCUCUUGUAUCCAAUCUUUGUACCAAAACCUCAGAUUGGUACCUGUGGGUUGCUAGUAGUGUUGAUUACUCCCUGUAGUUGAUGCUAGUUGGUUUAUUUGGUGGAAGAUCAUAUGUUCAGAUCCUUAAUGCAUAUUAAUACCCCUCUGAUUAUGAACAUGAAUAUGCUUUGUGAGUAGUUACGUUUGUUCCUGGGGACAUGGGUGAAGUCUUGCUAUUAGUAGUCAUGUGAAUUUGGUAUUCGUUCGAUAUUUUGAUGAGAUGUACGUUGUCUUUCCUCUAGUGGUGUUAUGUGAACGUCGACUACAUGACACUUCACCAUUAUUUGGGCCUAGAGGAAGGCAUUGGGAAGUAAUAAGUAGAUGAUGGGUUGCUAGAGUGACAGAAGCUUAAACCCUAGUUUAUGGGUUGCUUCGUAAGGGGCCGAUUUGGAUCCACUUGUUUCAUGCUAUGGAUAGGUUUACCUUAAUACUUCUUUUGUAGUUGCGGAUGCUUGCAAUAGGGGUUAAUCAUAAGUGGGAUGCUUGUCCAAGAAAGGGCAGUACCCAAGCACCGGUCCACCCACAUAUCAAAUUAUCAAAGUAACGAACGUGAAUCAUAUGAGCGUGAUGAAACUAGCUUGACGAUAAUUCCCAUGUGUCCUCGGGAGCGCUUUUCUCAUUAUAAGAAAUUCUCCAGGCUUGUCCUUUGCUACAAAAAGGAUUGGGCCAUCUUGCUGCACCUUAUUACUUUCAUUGCUUGUUACCCGUUACAAAUUAUCUUAUCACAAAACUAUCUGUUACCUACAAUUUCAGUGCUUGCAGAGAAUACCUUACUGAAAACCGCUUGUCAUUUCCUUCUGCUCCUCGUUGGGUUCGACACUCUUACUUAUCGAAAGGACUAUGAUAGAUCCCCUACACUUGUGGGUCAUCAACUUCUUUCGAGAGAAACUCCUUCUCUAGAAAUGAUCAAUUCUUAGCAACGAAUAUCUUGCCUUCGGAUCUGUGAUAGAAGGUGUACCCAACAGUCUCCUUUGGGUAUCCUAUGAAGACACAUUUCUCCGAUUUGGGUUCGAACUUAUCACGUUGAAGCUUUUUCACAUAAGCAUCGCAGCCCGCAACUUUAAGAAACGACAGCUUAGGUUUCUUGCUAAACCACAGUUCAUAUGGUGUCAUCUCAACGGAUUUAGAUGGUGCCCUAUUUAACGUGAAUGCAGCCGUCUCUAAAGUAUAACCCCAAAACGAUAGUGGUAAAUCGGUAAGAGACAUCAUAGAUCGCACCAUAUCUAAUAAAGUACAGUUAUGACAUUCGGACACACCAUUACGCUGUGGUGUUCCAGGUGGCGUGAGUUGCGAAACUAUUCCACAUUGUUUCAAAUGAAGACCAAACUCAUAACUCAAAUAUUCACCUCCAUGAUUAGAUCGUAGAAACUUUAUUUUCUUGUUACGAUGAUUUUCCACUUCACUCUGAAAUUCUUUGAACUUUUCAAAUGUUUUAGACUUAUGUUUCAUUAAAUAGAUAUACCCAUAUCUACUCAAAUCAUCUGUGAAGGUCAGAAAAUAACGAUACCCGCCGCGAGCCUGAACACUCAUCUGGCCGCAUACAUCAGUAUGUAUUAUUUCCAACAAGUCAGUUGCUCGCUCCAUUGUUCCGGAGAACGGAGUCUUAGUCAUCUUGCCCAUGAGGCAUGGUUCGCAAGCAUCAAGUGAUUCAUAAUCCAGUGAUUCCAAAAGCCUAUCAACAUGGAGUUUCUUCAUGCGCUUUACACCAAUAUGACCUAAACGGUAGUGCCACAAAUAAAUUGCACUAUUAUUAUUAUUAACUUUGCAUCAUUUGGCUUCAAUAUUAUGAAUAUGUGUAUCACUACAAUCGAGAUUCAACAAAAAUAGACCACUCAAGGGUGCAUGACCAUAAAAGAUAUUACUCAUAUAAAUAGAACAACCAUUAUGAAGGGAGGCACACCCUGGUGACCCUGGCGCCACGAAACCCAGAGGCGGCAGAGAUGUGCGGUCCCACAAAGAACCAGUCCCACGAUCACCCAUCCUGGUUUCCUUUCUGCCUUUUUUUUGGCUUCAUUCUCCACGCGCACCCGGUAAAUUUGCACGCAAGACACCCUGGUGAAGCUCCUCUGGAAUCUCUGCUAUAAAUGCAACUUGGAGCCCAUCCAUCCCAUCCCAUCCACCAACAACCACGGUGGACAAAUAUGAGCCCUAAAAGUGGACACGUCCGCCCCUCUCCAGAUCUACAUCCGCGGACAACAAAUCUGACCCUCAAACGCCCUCGCGCCAGUCCUCCAAUUUUUCCAUCUACACCCGAAUACCUUAUAAUAGAAACCUUAAAUCCAUGCAAAAACAUGCAAACAAUGAAAUCUAUGUACUCCCUUCAUUUUUAUUUACUCCGCAUACUAGAUUUGACUGAAGUCAAACUUCGUAUAGUUUGACCAAGUUUAUAGAAAACAAUACAAACAUUUACCAUGAUAAAUCUAUAUGAACUGAAAGUACAUUCGAUAAUGAAUUUAAUGGUAUUGAUUUGUUAUUGUAUAUGUUAAUAUUUCUUUUAUAAACUUUGUCAAAGUUUAGAAAGCUUGACUUUGACCAAAAUUAAUAUGCGGACUAAAUAAAAACGGAGGGUGUACUACGUAGAUCACCUAAGUUAUACUACCCGAAUCCUCGUCGGAGAUGUCCACUAUCUCCGUGCCCGGCUCCGAGUACAUGGGCGGCGGCCGCAGCUCUGGCUGCUCCGCGCCACCCUCCGCCUCCAUCUCCGCGUCGGUCGUCGCCCGUUCCUGCCGGAUGAAUUGCCGGUUUGCCUCCACAUAGGCCUCAUCCUCAAUGGACUCAAGGAUGGCCUGCUGCUCUGCCAUCUCGGCCGAUUAGGCGACCACUAACUCCGCCUCCUCCAUGUUGAAGCUCGGAGCCGGCGCCAGCUCCUGCUCCAGCUUCUCCCCUUCGUCCUCCUUCGGAUACACCAUCUCCAUCGGAGCCGGCUGAUGCUUCUCCUCCAACUCCUCCUCCACCUGCUCCGCAUUGUCCUCCUCCGGAUCCGCCACCUCUAUCGUAGCCGGCUGAUGCUCCUCCUCGUCCUCGUCCUCUGGAUCCGCCACCUCCAUCAGAGCCGGUUGUGGCAAGCCAUGGUGGACAAAAUCCGACGUGACGGGCGAGCCCGGGCGUCCCAUAUCUGCCCCACAUAUGGACUAGAUAUGGGCUCGUCAGUCAGCCCGGGCAUAUGGGCUACGAUUUGGGCGUCCGAUUGGAUGGCAAUUCAACGUACGGGUAGUGACUGAGCUGGUCGCCCGAAUGUUGGGGCAGAUAUGGAUCUUCCGGUUGUAUUUGCUCUUAUCAAUUACACAUAUCUAUAAAUACACUAUGCUCCUAAUUUUAAAGCUUCACAAUCAGUUGAGGUCUUCAAAUUGAUCAACAAUUUUGCAAGAAGCUCUCAUUUAAUUCUUUUAAUCCACAACGCUCCUUAAUUUUGAAACUCUUCUAUUCGCUUGAGGUAUUCAAUUUUAGAUUUGGUUCAUGAUUUUGAUCGGGUCAGCAUUUUUUCAAAUCAGUCGGCAACUACUGUCUUAAAUAAGAUAUCAGUCCCAUGUAUGCUCUGACCACCCUGGCAAAAGAAGUGCCAACAUGUGAUACUGCAUCAUCAAUGUAAUGCAUGCAUCCAUCGAUGUAGAAAAUUUCCCCACAUAGGUAUGAGUUGAUUAGCAGAUAAGACAAUCAAACCACAGAAGGCCCACCAGAACACAACAUCAAAAAUAAAAAAUAAAACACACUUCAUCAUCUCCCCCACUUGCCAAACCAAAUACUCUCUCGAUUUCAGAAUAUAAGGUGAUUUUUUUAGGAAAAUCAAAUUUAUUUAAUUUUGACCAAGUUCAGAGUCAAAAUAUCGAUAGCGACAAUACUAAAUAAAAAAAUAUAUUUGAUGAUGAAUCUAAUGAUACCGAAUGAUGUUAUGGAUAUUGAUAUGUUUGUCUGAAUUUUUGUCAAACUUCAAAAUGUUUGACUUUUCAUAAAAAAACACACCUUACAUUUUUUAAACCGGGGCAGUAAGUGUUUUAUGAAAUACUCCCGGCGUUCCUUUGUAUAAGGUGUAUUUGUUUUUGAAAAAAAUCAGAAUGUAAGGUAUAUUUCUUCUAAUUCCUCAUAAUUCCGUUCCUAGCACUCUAGAAAAUUGGAAAGUAGCUCACUCCUGAUUGCAUGUAUCUCUACUUGUAGCAAAAGAAGGAUACUAUCUCUCUCGAUUGUGUGUAUGUCUUUCUUUGCUAGACUAACUAAUUUACUUGGCACUAACCAACGAAAUUGCCAAUGGCCCAAACUGUCAAUAAUCAUGUGCCUUGGUCACCGUGUCGAAAAUAAUGCAUCUUACAUAGAGAAAUGGGGGAGUGCCUAACAACAUCAAAUAAAAGCGCACCCAAAACUUCUAGGAUUUCUUUUAGUGAACAAAUGUCACUGAACAUUCAACAGUGUAUGGGUGUGUUGCUGGCUAGUACUUUCAAUUCGGCUAGGUGCAGCUCCGGAGAAACUAAAUCGGGACAUUUUUGAACACAGACGGUCUCAUCUACUCUGCACUCGGACGGUUCUAUCUUUUCUUCACUCAUGAUGCUUUCUGGAACGGGAGAGGAACAAACACUGCCUCCACGGAGGAAAUGGCCACCAAACCCCUCGUCCCGUCCCGUCCCAUCCGACAUCGCUUUGCUUUUGCUGCAGGCGCCGCCUCCAUGCAUGUAUGCUGCUCUGGCUGCUCGCUGCGCUAGGAAAAGCGGGUAGAGCAACGCGGGUGCUGACGCGUGUGCCAACAAAGGGCCCCGCCACACAUUUGCACGCGGGCCCCGGCACCCCUCAAUGCAUGCUUGUCCUGUCACUCUUGAGUUCAUUCGGCGUCUUUCUCCAUUUGUUGGACGCUCUAUGAUUCCUUUACGUACAUAUUUUACAAUAUGUAAAGCUCAUCGUGGCAUGAAGAUUAAAUGCGGGUAACACAAACUUUUGUGCAAAUGUGAUCGAUGUGUGCACGAGCCAAUAGUGCACGCUCGUUGUUACGACCAUCCGGUCGCAAGAGCAAGAGAGGACGGAUGAGUCUUCUCUUUAUUAAUUUAUAUGAUGAACUAUUCUACUUUUAUAAAAAAUAUUUUAUUGAAGUGUAAUCACAACUAUUAACAAACUUAGUUGCAUAUUUCAUUCUAGUGAAUAUUAACAUGAAUUUUGUGUUAUACAAUUAUAAUUUCUUGAAUUGAUAAUACACAUCGACUCAGCUUAAACAAUAUUAUUGCAUAGGAAAUGAGUUUAUUAAUUUUGCACAUCAAAAAUAUUUGGUUAAACCGAAUUUCAUUAGAUAGGGGAAGAAAAAACAUUCAUUGAUUAAUUUUUGCCACAUAUAUGGAUUUUAGAUCACUAUGUAUAUGAUAGUAUGUAUGUUUUUGUAUCCUUAAAUAUCUUUGCAGAUAGGUAUAAAACGAAACUCUAACAACUAUCAUGGCAAGUUGCAUGUUUAUCUAUAUUAGGUUUGAAUAGCUUUUUCUAGGUAAAAGGUGUCCAAGGCGAUAAAUCGCGUGUGAACAUGGUCCCACGUGAGGAGGAAAUCAGCUCCAUCCAGUCCCACGUGAUACAUGCACUUAGAGCAACUCUAGCAGACCCCGCAUCCCGCCGACCCGCAAAACGUGUUUGCAGUUCGCGCAAAACCGCUUUUGCGGGUCGGCGCAGGGUGGCACAGAUGCAGACCCCGCAUAAUGGACCCGUAAAAAAGCAUAAUGGUCGGCUUCUGCGGGUCUUGAUCUGGCGCAGCUCCUCCCGGCCCGCAAAGCUUAGAUUUGCAACUUAAAUUAAUCUAGCAUAAUGCUUUUCUUUGCUUUUGCAACAACAUUAGAUACAAAAGAUAUCACCAAAUCUUGGCUAGAAUAGCAAAACCAAAGAAAACAAGAACCACAAGUAUGCAUUUCGGAAGAUUUCCAACUUCCAUAACUGCUCCCACUAGUUGAAGCAAUAUCUUCUCCAUGCACUCAUUGUUGAUCUGCGGAUUCUUGAUCUUACUUUCUUCAUUCUUCAUUUUUGGUUCCAAAAAAGUAGACGUUGCUUCCCCUCUAGUUGCACAUGCAGCCGCAACCAUCGUCCUACACAAAAGAAUGAGCAAGUUCGAAGUGAGCUACCGCAAUUGAACUAAAGAUUGAGGUAUGGAACGAGCUGCCGCAAGUGCACGUACCCCGUCAUUUUCACAUUUGUAGAACACCCAUCCGGGGUGCUUCGGCGUGCCCGAAGUGAGCCGCAGCACUUUCCGCGGGCAGUCGUCGCACUCUAUGAGCGGCAUCGGCAGGCCACAAAGAUGUUGCGCGAGCGCCAAGCCCGAUGGACGGCCGAACGAGUCCAUGCCCGCAAACCGUCGGCGGCGACGGGCGGACGAACCCGUGCCUGCAUGCGGCGAUGCGCCCUUGCCAGGGCUGCGGGAGAGGCUCCCCGACCACUCCGUCGCCUGGGGCAGCAACCGGCGGCCGGAAAAGCCAAAUCUAGAGGCCCGCGAUGAAGUGUCGCAGAUUUGCAAAUCCGGCGGCCCGCCGACGCAGGGGGAAAGGGAGGGGAGGCCUCGUGCACGUGGCGGCCUUCCGGCGUGCUCCUUCCGGCUGCUGUCACCGAAAUCUUGGGCGGCGGCCGGCGGCGGCGCGAGGGGGGAGAGGAGAAGUGGUUGGUGGGAGAAAGCGCGGGAUGAAAUGUCCCCCCCUACCAACCGCUUCCGCUUAUAUGCAGGGCACCGCAGCCACGAGGGAGAAACCAGCGUUUUCCCCGGUUGGGAUCGGGAUUUUGCCGCGCCCCCUAAAUUUUUUUGCACGCCGGGGCGGGAUGCGGGGUCUGCUCGGGUUGGUUUUCCCGCCCCGACCCGCAUUUUGGCAGUUAUUUUACGGGUCUGGGCGGGAUGCGGGGUCUGCUAGAGUUGCUCUUAUUGUACAAGAGAAAGGUGUGAUAGCUCCCAUGUGCCCCUACAACCUCAUAAACAGUAAAUUCAAAAAAAAAUCAAAAAAAUCUGAAACUUUGGGAGAUCAAACAUGAUCAAACAUUUGAUGUUCUUGCAAAGUUUCAGCCCCAAAUAACAUUCGAAGAGCCCUCACAAAAAUAAAACAAAAUCAUUGCUCAAAAGUGCACAUAAACUUUAGACAUUGAUUUUGCUUUUUUGGGUGAGAGCUCCUCAAAGGUUAUGGCUGACAUUUUACAAGAACAUCAAAUGUGUGGUCAUUAUAGGUGUCCCAAAGUUUCACAUUAUAUAGGUUUUGUUUUCAACUUAUUUUGAAUUUACUGUUCAUGGAGGGUGUAAGGGCACCCGAGUAUUGAAAGGCCUGUCUCAUAGUACAAUGGAGCUUGUAUAUCGAUCAUCAAUUACAAUGGCUACUUGUAGCAUGCUUGAUGAACGUGUUUAUUUCCACAAUUAUGUCCAGUUAUGAGCCAACGUCACCCUAAACCCACAGCCCUGCAUUUGUUCUCCAAAUCCCGCUGCCCAGCUCAUAGCUACUCCCUGUUCAUUCAUCAUCUUCCUCCUCUUCCCCCUAGCCAUUCUCUUUUUUUUGUGCUUGGGAAACUUUGGGCAUUGUGCAUGGUGCGUAUUCACCUGCACUGAGUACGGUGAAGAUAGACUACUUUGUUCUACCUGAUGAUCCAACUCUUCUCGUUCAUCUUAUCAUCGCAUUAGUAUUCCCUUAAGGUUUUCCCUACUUGUUCUAAGUACUAAUCACCACCUAGCUGCCGAUAAUGUCAUCGCUUAGAUAUAACUCGCUAUGAAUGGCACACAACAUUUGCUUCAAUCCUGGAUUAUGUUGUCCAGCGUUCUCACUAACAACUGAAGUGCUAAAUACAAAAAUUAAAAUAAAAUAAGUCAUGUGCAUUAAAAUGGACUACUUGACUUAGGACCAGCUACCAUACGACAUGAAUCAUUAAGCACGAUACGAGAAGACAGCAAUAGACUGAAGCUUGAUUCAUUCAUAUCUGUAGCCAGUUAAAAUCUACAUAGGAAUAGUUGGCCUAGAACAUAACAGGGAGUUGCUUAUUAUGCUUAUUAUUCCUAGCAGAUCAAAUAGUGUUAUUUACUGCUUCAGUAGCCUGGACUGGUUGGGAUAAGAGAGAACAUAACAUUGUCUGACGAGUAACUCCACCGAUUAAAUGGUGCAGAUGCAUGCUGUUGGUAAAUAUGCCUGCUGACAGCUAUCAAGACACCCAGUAGGGAUUAAUGGACUUUCAGAUGAUGUCAAAGAGACACGUCCAGGACUUUCCCCCAAACCACCGCUCAUGCUAAGGUCGACUAGAAGAAACCGAUGUGAGCACCCAGUGCCAUACCUUAUUAAGAAUCAACCACGCAUGAUUGAUUUGAGAUUGAAAUGCUAACCUCUGCAUUUCCGUACCCGCCCAAGCCAUUUUUCUGUUGUUCUUCUACUUUUCCAGGAUUGUAGCUUGAAGAUGGGCUACAGUUACAGGGAGAGACAGAGAGAGCAGGAUGACGAUGCUUAUGGGCUAAUACCACCCAGCUAACAGGUACGAGGGAUAGCUAAUGGAUAUGGCAGUAUGCAUAGGAAAUAACUGCGCCCGCCCUCACUCACAUCUAUACAUCAUUACAUCCUCGCAUUGUCACAUUUGACCGAACAACGCGCUCCGUAUUCCAGAGAUCGCUAUAUUAAGUGUUAGGUAAUCCAAACAAUAUGUCAGUUAGUUUAGGAAAGUGUAGGCGUGCUAGUUCUGUUCGGUAAGGAUUAGUACGUACUAGAGUGAUUAAGCUUGCCGGUUGAUUAGUUUAGGACAUACUCCGUAGAGAUUCCAUGUUUUAGUCGUAUAGGAAAGUCUGAUUGAUGUCCUAGUAGUACUAAUUGAAUGCCCGUGCGUUGCUACGGGAAAAUGUAAAGUAUGUGUACAUCUGCUAUUUCGUACAUUAGCUCCUUAUGAGUUGGCACUACCGAAAUCAUAUUUCCUGCAAAACAUACUUUUAUCUCUUUAGAAAGAUCAACAGAUGCCCCAACAAUAACAUGGAAUUGGAAAAUCCUGAAACUUCUUCAACAGGACUAUUAAUGUAUGUGUACUACACCAGCCAAGGGAUACUUUUUUUGAGAAGAUGAAAACAAGUCAUUUCUAAGACAACCAACCAUUACAGGGAAUAAAGUGUGAAGCCAAAAAACUGGUACAACACAAAACUGAUCACGGUGAUAGAGAGAUGAGUAUAUAAUUGGUAUGUGAAUAUUCAUCAAGAUUCAUUUGGUUUUUGUGAAAGUGAUAUGUUGUACAUCAAAAGCAUAAAGAAUUCAAAAGUUAUCAAAACAUGGUUUUCAACUUUAUGAAACACCACGAGAACAUCUAAACGUUAAAUGUUGAAUUAAUGUUAGCCCAUAAAUUGUCAGUAAGUUGUGGUUUAGAUAAGCCACCAUUAUUUUUAUCCUAAUAGUUGGAUACCUGUAGGUUGCCACGGAUCAUAAAUACUUACCAAAUAUUAUUUAAUUAUAUACGUUGCAUGCAUCUUAUGACUGUAUUGCGAUCCAUACCAUCUUAAGAACGUGCCCCCUCUCUUCUUCCCAUGCUUUCUCUCUCCUCCCUAUUCUCUCCCUUCUUCCCCGCUCUUCUCAUCUCCUCCGGCCGGCGACAUAGCUAGUCAGAUUGGGAAUGGGAGGGGAGCUUGGGCUGCUCUUGUAUACAUUCGUUUUAAGUUUGCUUGUGCCUUAGGGGCGUAUGAUGUUUUGAUGCGAGAUGGAGCUCUUCACAGAGAGUCACGCUUCGGUACACCCCCCUCACAAAACGUAUAAAAGGCAAUACGGACCUUUCACACAAUAUACCCACUUUUGUAUGUGUACGCUGUAUGAAGACCCCCUGUACGAGGCUUGUGAAAAAAUAUUCAGAAAAACGAUUGCUCAAGGAAUCGAAUCAAACUUGAGAUCUCAAGUUAUCAGCAAAGGAUGAUAGCCACUCAAACAAGUCGCGGCUUGUGAUUUUGAACAACACGAAUUUAAUAAGGAUCACACUACAACGUUCAUAUGUAAAACAGUUUCUGAAAAAUAAUCAAAACUUUUCUUAAAAAAACGUGAACAAUUUACACAUGCCGAAUAUUUUUAAUAAAUAGCAAAUGAUUUAUGUAUAUAACAUGAAUUUUUUUUUCCAAUCAUUUUUUGGGAACCUGACCAAUUUUUAAAUGCAAAUAAGUUUAGACAACAGGUGCCCGACGAGAGUGAUACCGUCGGCUAGUUGGGUCAAGGUCUAUGUUUUUUUCUCUAUUUUUCUUAUUCUUGUCUUUUAUCGUUAAUUCAUUUUCCUCCUUUUUAUUUUACUAUUCUUUUUUAAAGCAGUUCAAAAUUUUGAAAUAUUGUUAGUUUUAAGGAAAUGUUUUAAAUUAUGAUUUUUAAUUCUUUUUUCAUCAAACAUUUAUUUAAUGCUUUAAAUUAUUAUCCUUUUCCAUUUUAUCCCUUUGUAUUUAUUAGUUCUGUUAAAAAGUUUAAAUAACAGUUUUAAGUUCCUAUUUAAAUUAUAAUUUUAAAUACUUUUUCUUCAAACUUGGCAUGGGAUGUCUACCAUGGGCUUGCCCCACCUCCUGGUAAAAAUUCUAGUAAUUUCAAGAAUGUCCCGAAAACACCAUGUUCAUCGUAGGGUGUCCAGGUAAGCCAUAAAGCCCCGAUUGAGAGCACGUUCUUUCUCGACAACCGUCAAAUGACUCCAUUCUUUUCCUUGGCUUGUAUGACCAAUUCAAGGCAGCAUGCCAGGUUAUUUUUGUUUCAAAAAGGGCCGAUAAAUUACCUACACCGUCGGGAAUCGUUCAAUCCUAGCAUGGAUGCACCAUGGGCACACCCACCUGCGUGCAAAAGUUUGCGUCAUUUUAAGAGUGUCCAAAACUAGAAUAUGUUCAAUGGAGGGUGUUCGGGUAGGCCAGAAGGCUUCGUUUGAGAGCACGUUGUUUCUCGACAUCCUUGAAUUGGCUCCAUUAUUUUCAGAACCUUGUAUUACAAAUUCAAGGCAUCAUCCCAAGUUGUUUGGGUUUCGACUAGCUUUGCAUUUUCUAGAGUUUUCUCAGUGAAAAAAGCCCGAUAAAUGGUCGGACGUGACACAAAUUGCAUAAUGUAUCAAAAUUCAUUCAAACCUGACAUGGAUGCCUACCAUGGGCAUGCCUGUUUGCUCGAAAAGGUUGGGGUUAUUUCUUGCAUGUCUAAAAAUAGACCAUGUUCAAUGAAGGGGUGUUCAGUUAGGCAGUCCGUUUGAGAGCGCGUUUUUUGACAUCCUUUAGUUAACCCAAAAUUUUCUUAUGAGCUUAUAUGACCAAUUAAAGGCACCGUGCCAAGUUAUUUUCAUUUUUCGACAAAUCUUGCAAUUAUCUAAACUUUUCUAGGUGAAACUGACCAAUAAACGGCUGGACGUGACGCAACUUGCAUACGGUGUCGGAAUUAGUUCAAAUCUGACAUGGAUGCCUACAUGGGCAUGCCCACCUGUUGGCAAAAGUUGGGGUUAUUUCAUGCAUGUCCAAAAUUAAAUUAUGGUUAGGAUUUUUUAUUGAUUUUGGAAAAUGAAGUUCGCAAAUUUUGAAUUUUUUUUAGAAUUUAAAUAAGCUCAUGGAUUCAAAAAAAAUCAUGGGUUUUCAUAAAAAAAUGUAAAAUUUGAAAAGAGUUCGUGGAUUGAAAAAAUUCAUGCAUUUGCAAAAAGGUUCACGCAUUUGGAAAAAAGUUCAUGGACUUUUAAGGAAGUUCACAAAUUUAGGAAAAUUUUCACGACUAUGAAAGAUUCAGGAAUGUAACAAAAAAUCAUGAUUUUAUAAUGAAGCAAAAAAUAAAUUCAAAAAGAAAGAGAAAGAGAAGUAAAAACCGAAGAAAAUACCACCUAAAACAAAAGAAAAUCCAAACAAGAAAGCCACUAUGUGUUUUAGGGCGUCUGCUAUUUGGCAUGUAUGUCACUCGUUAGUGACCUAGCACGUAUUUUAAAGCGGCCGAUUUUCUUUUGGGCUGAACCGUUUCAGACUCCUUCCCCACCGAUUUCACUCUUUCCUUUUUUCUUUUUUCCAUUUUCCUUUGCUUUCCCCCCUUUUCUUUUAUCUUUCUUUUCUUUUUCUUUCUUUCUUUCUUUCUUUCUUUCUUUCUUUUCUUUUUAUUUUUUGCAGACAUAUUUUCUCAAAUCGUGAGGAAGUUUUUAGAAUCAUGAAUAUUUUUUAAACUAGCGAAAAUUUCUGAAAAUGUGAAAACUUUUCAAAUUCAUGAACAUUUUUGGAAAUUGUGAACAUCUUUUAAACCCGUGAAUAUUUGUUUUGAAUCAGCGUCCAUUUUUCAAAAUUGGGGGAACUAUUUUUGUAAUUCAUGGACAUCUUUUUUGCUUUGUAGGAGAUUUUUUUUAAUUCAUGAACCUUUUUUGAAGCGAGGAACAUUUUUGUAAUUCAUGAGCAUGUGUAAAUUUUGUGAACUUUUUAAAAUGCAUGAGCAAUGUUUAAAUUUUCGAAAAAAAAUCAAUUUCAUAACAUUUUUCAUCUGCGGCGGUUGCUGUUCUUGUGCGCUGGUCUAUGGGGCCUUAGCACGACGACUUCCCGACUGUCUACUACAACAAGUUGUGCCCGACUCCGACGAUGGAGGGGUGAUGACGGCGUCGCGCCUUCGGCUCGCUUCAGUGCUUGUAGUCGUCGCUAGGUGGUCUACGGAUCUGGAUGUAAUUUUUAUUUCUGGUGUUCAUUGUACUGCCAUGAUUGAAGAUGAAUAGAUUGAAAGUUUUCCGGAAAAAAAGGUACUCCGUACGUGAGUCCAUGUUCUAGUCGUAUAGGAAAGUCUGAUUGAUGUCCUAGUAGUAUUAGUAAUAGGAGUCUCGCCGCUAGGUUUAGACGUGGAUUUCGUGUACAUCUAGGAAGUUGUGGGUCGGCUGAUUGUGUGUAUAUAUAUACACAGCACGCCGCAAGUUUUGUAACAGAGAGAAAACCAGAAAAAGAAAUAAAGGGGAAGAAAAGAGGGCACGGCAAGGGCCCUUUGGCUACCAGUUUUUGUGCGCGUGUGUUUGUGCAAUUUUAUGUAAUCGAUCCUGUGGGAGAAUUUCCAACAUUAAGUAUCAAUCCUGAAGCGUGUGCUCGGACGUUCGAGAUUUAGGCAUCGCGUGGCACCAGGUCCCGAAAAUUUGCGUCUGUCUACAAGGGGCUUAUACUUGAUAUUGAAAUAACAUCGAUCAACUCAAUAGGCAUCACAUGGGUGCUUGGUAAAAUAACAUCGUUACUUAUGUGUAUGAAUGAAAAAUAAUACUGUAUACAUUGUGUUUCUUAGUUUGAUUUGUGGCAUUUUCGUGAUAUGAACAUUCGUGUGACGAUUGUGAGGGAUCAAUAUGGUAUUUUGCUGUUUGUUCUGUCUGGGCUGAGUGUACUUCUUAAUUCUGCUUGAUUUGUGUAUAUCAGACAAGGAUCCUAGCUGCUCCUAUUGACCCGUCUUCCGUGACAGAGACGCUAUUAACGUAUACUCCCUCCGCCCUAAAAUAAGUGUUUCAAGUUUAGUACAACUUUGUGGUGAGUGAUUUCAUUUUAAACUACCCUAAGGGAGCAUCAAGACCAUUAGUCGCUGAACUUCAUUAGGAGGAAGGAUCCACUAUGGACCAGAAUUGAUCACAUCAGGGUUUAGCAAAUAUGGCACCUUCUUGACAUCUUCUUUCCGGUGUAACAUUUCGUCUCAUCGUGCGAACAAACACGUUGAUCGCGUUCACGUAUCUCAUCCCCACAUGUGCCCUGUCUCGUUCUAGGUAGCUGCAAGUUGGCGGCCUAAUACAGAUUUACUGGUAAAGGUCAGCUGCAUCUCGUGUCAUCGUCAAGCCUAGGCACCUCCUCCGCAGCCCAGCUGACUCCGCCGCAGCACGUGAGAUAGCAGACCACGGACUCCGUGGUCCGUGCCACUUUCUUCCACCUUGGACCGAGACGACACCGCUCCGAAUCGAUCUCGUGCACGCCAGGGACUCCGUGCUCGUGAUCGAUCCUAACCCCACUACAAACCCUACCGCUCAACUUUUUGACCCUCCGCUCGCUUCUCUUAGGCGAAACUCAUCUCGCCAAGACCUCCGAGACCGCCUGAAACCCUAGCCGUCGUCAUCUUGCUUGCUCGUCGCGACCCCCUUGGUUGGUGGUGGAGAUAUGGCUAUGGCGCUGCGCACCAUGGCCGCGAGCCUGAAGCAGAGGAUCCCCGCCGCUGUCCAGAGGGGUUUCGCCUCAUCUUGUGCUCCGGUUCGCUCCCCAUCUCGAUUUUCUGCCACCGUCUUAGUCUGAUUGAUGCAAUGCAAUCGAUUGAUUCUGACAUGCUGCGUUGCGCGAUUAGUCGGGUCCAUUCUUCUCCCUCCCCUCCGAUGGGAGUUUGUUGCAUGUUCUUGUAGUGAUGGAGGCGGGGAUAGGCCCUCCGUACCUACGUUGUUGGGUUCAAAUUUCAUAUUAGCAAUCGGAAUUUAAUCGGCGAUAGUCCAUGAUUUUUGUGUUACUAGAGACACCAGCCAGAUGGUUUCUAGUCUCCUCGUGUUCUUAGCAAUAUAGUUAUUUUGCUUAAAUUAGCCAUAUACAGUGUCCAUUGCUGCAAUUUCUGAAUGUUCUUCUAGAGUCUUGAUUUUGAGAUUUCGGAUAGAUAGAUAGAUUGUCGCUGCCAGGUUAGUUAUUAUUUUUUUUGCGGGGGAGGUUAGUUAAACCUUCUAUAUUUAGCUUCAGGUUUUUGAACUGAAAAUACCAAACUUUAAAAUGAACACCACUCAUCCAAACAGGAUGCAAUGCUUGUUUUUGGAAUUGUCACGUGAGUACGUGAAAACAGACAGAUGCAAUAAUAUAUUUGUGGAAGCUUAGAUGUGACAUUUUUAAAAGACAUCUAGAUGUGAAUUAGACAAACUGACUUGUUUUUAGACAGAACUAUCAAUGUAGUUUCAAUUUCUUGGUUGUUAAUUCCGUACCAAAGUUUCAGCCUACAUUAGCUGUCAUCCCAUUUUUAAUGAUGAGUAACUCAACUGUAUGUAUGUAGGCACCGGCUGAUGCUGACCUCGACCGCUUGGGCCCAGAGUUUCGGUAAGGCACUAAACAUGCAAGAUCGUCAUCUGAUUGGCUCAUUCAUUGUGCAAUACAUCCUAACAUGCAUUUUAUUUCCUCUUUCGAAGCCGGAUACUGGAGAAGAUUGUAGAGCAACACAAGAAGAGGCGCAGGGAUGAGGCCUUGGCCUUUGCUGCUGGCGGAAGUCUUGGAGUACUCACCUUUUUGUUCGGGGUCAGUCGCCUCGGUUGAUGGGGCGAGUGAAGGGAUCAACGGCCGGGAUAUCUAUUUUGCACUCUAGUCUACCUACUGUACCAUUCAUGUUUAUAACUAGCUAGUGUAUUCUGUAAUUCCUGAGUUGUCUUACGUAAGACCACUACUGUAUAUGUCUGAUGGGGGAUGCAGGUUCUAUGGGAUCUAAUUUCCCUGUUUGUAUGAGGGCUAUAAAUCUGUUGUUAUGAGGAAUCUAUAUAUAAC